UCAACAGUAGAUACUUCCUAGGACUCAGGUAUAUGGGUAAUUGUGCAGGUAAGCUUGAAAUGUCAAUUUGGAAAAGAAAUCAAAGGUUGACGCUCAGCUUUGCUUCUCACGCAUAGGGCGUUGUGAUGCUUCCAAUCAUAUAUCUUGACUUUAGGUCUUCCUGGAUCUCUACGGUGCUUGUUUCUUAUAUUUGUCAAGUUAUAUUUGGUGGUUGGUGCUUGGUACUUGGUGCUAGAGGGUGAGAAGAAAAGACAACAUAUCAGAAAGAAUCUUCGCUGCACUUCUGACAAUUUAUUCAUGGUCAUCUUUAAUUGAGUUUCUUUUGUAAAGAGCACUGAAAAUUACUGUUAUUUGUGCCGAAGGCCUCUCUUGUUCACCCCUUGUUUAUGUUUGUAUGAGGUACUCUGCUCUGCCAUGCAAUAGAUGACAUAUCUGAAUUCUGGACUAUGCCAUCUGAGAGAGCUUGAAUUGGGCAGGCUUAUCCUCUUGUCGGUAUUCCUCAUGCUGAGAUGCCUCUGCCCCUUAACCUGGUAGGGCAGAUGGACCUGUUUAUGUAAAUACUUAGCAGUACCACGGGAUUUUGAGAUGAAGAUAAGCCUGUGCUAAGCUUGAAAAGCAGCCGAUCAAAGUUAGAAGGGUGAAUUGCCCUUUUCAUACUUCUUGAUUUUGGAAAUUCCUUCUGGCCUUUGCCAGUUAUAAAAAAUUAAUUAUAAAGCUCUUUUUUUUUUCCCCCGAUUUGAAGGUUCCACUCGUGUUUGCUUUCUUAGCCAUGUGCUAUCCUGUCGUUUGGUGCCAUUUUUAGGACAUUCUAUUUGCUGGGAAAUAGUCCGACUGCAUACUUCAUCUUCGUUACAGCUUUUGCGGCUACCUCGGCAGUUAAUUGACUGGGGAUAAACUUAACUGACAUCUUUGCUUUGCUUGUUCUCUGAUAUGGUGUCAUUGCUUUCUCUUGUCUUGGUUUAAUUGGAUCUAUAGCCGUAUAUUCAUGAGACGCGGCACCAGCAUGCCGAGAGAAGAGUCAGGAAGUAGAGGGCGGUUUCUUCAAGUAAAAUCAAGGCUUCGAAUGAUGCAGCCGAAGAGAAGGGAACAAACUUGGUCAGGCUCUGUCUUCCCAAUCUGCCAGUUCAUUGGGCUCUGAAGCUUUGGCACCUGACUUCUCUGAAACCUGGAAUUCAUCUAGUAAACACAUGGUAGGAAGGAAGGCCGCAAGAAGGGUGUCGGCACUUCAAUUUGAUUUGGAUUUUCAGCAAAUCCGAACUGAACUAACCGUUAAGGUUAGCAGCUAAAUCGAACUGAACUAGAACCCAAACUAAAUACGACCCGAACAAAAACCUAGUUUGGCUCGAUUUGCUUAUUUGGUUUUGUCUUCAUCUUUUUUAAUGAUAGAAAUGCCUCUCUUUUUUUUUUUUUUCCUAAUUUACUUGUCUAGUGUUUGCUUUAUUUUUAUUUGGGUGGGGGCAGGGGAUUAGAUUAAUCUAGUCUAGAAAAAAUAGGGUAAAAGAACAGCUAAAGUAAUUUACAUAAUUAUGACCAAAAUCAAAGGGUAAAAGAUUGGGUGGUUAUUCAAUGAGUGCAUAAUAUGUAUCGUAAGAGCAAUCUAGGAGAGUUAAAAAUAAGAGGGAAGACACUUUAUCAUUUAGGUAACUCAAUUCGCUUGCAAUUGCUUUUAUUGGUGGGCCCGUCAACUCUUGAGUUUCAUUCUUAAUAUGAUGUAGUCGAGAUGGUGCCAGAUCGAGCAAAGAAAAUGCAUCUCCUUGAGCUACUGAUCUCUAAAGCCACCUCUCUGUUUUACUCCAAAGUAAAUCCAAGCUUCAUAAUUGCAUUUUGCUUUUAGAAUUUGACUUUAAGACCGCGACGAGAGCCAACUCCUUCUGAAUCGAACAUCAACAUCCUCAAUAGGAACCAUCGUUUUGUUGACCAUUGCAAAUUCUUUAAAUUUGUUGACCAUGCCAUUAGCCCGCGAAACCAAUGACAUUAUUACUUCAUAUAUGGGCACAAAUUAAUGUAGUUUUAAUUGGUGAAUAUUAUGUGUAGAUAAAAGCUUAUACAGUUUAGUCCACAGGGAUGUUGUUACAAGUGAAAACAUAUAUAUUAAAAGUUAUGUAUGUGUUAGAUUCGUACGCCGCUUGUGGCUUGAUAUGGACAUGCAAGCUUCUACAUUUAAUAAAUGUCUUUUAACCCAUUGUUGUGCUCUGUCAUUGGUAACGAUACCAAGUGUAUUUAAAAGUUAUGUCUGUACUUAUUCAUUCGAGGUUCGCAGCUAGAUUUUCUGGAUCCGACAUCAGUUGUGCGUACUUAUAAGCAUGUGAACUAAUUUUAAAAAGGUUUCGGAGGAGAUAAACUAACGUUAUUUCGUCUACAGGCAUGGUCAAUCAAAGAAUUUCCUCCAUGUUUCGCUCACAAUUUGCGAUUGAAGCGCAUCUCCUUCGAUUUCUGCUUCGUAAUGCCUCCUCUUCAUUUUCGCUUCUUAAGCUUCGAAGGAAUUAGGCUUAGUAGUGGCGCUUCGCUGGUCGCAUUUGGCUUUAAGAUGGCUAAGAAAGCCAAUCCCUUCUUCUGAAUCGAACAUUAACAUCCUUAACAAAAAGCAUCAUCCUCUUGACAUUGGAAAUUUUUAUAAAUCGUUGACCAAAUCAUAAACCCAAAAAAAUAAUAACAAUAAUAAUUUUAUGACAAGUGUAAUUCAUACAUCUGUGCAAAUGAAUGUAGUUUUGAGUGGGGUAUAUCAUGUCUACAAGCAUGCGGUUACCAAUAAAAAUAAUAUAUAUAUAUAUAUAUAUAAGUUAUGUCUGUGCUGAUUUUUUUUCUAGCAUCCUUUGGCUCAUGAUUACUGCUCUUAAUGAGAAAUUCCAGUAUUAUAUAUACUAAACUGAAUUUUGGUACAGAAAUAAUGAUAAGUUCCAUGUGAAUCUUGCUCCAUUAGAUCUGAUAGCCCGAUUGAACUUAGUGAACGUGUUAGCUACUUGAAAUACUUGCUCAUUGCUAGUCGAUGCUACUUUUAUUUAUUGUCCUUGGAAUUCAAUUAUUUAUCCAACAUGUAAUGUUUGCACUUGUUCGUGAAAUUUUUUUUUUGUGAGAACUUGUUCGUGGAAUUUGUGGUUCACCUUUAUCAUGAAUCUUUGUUACGAUUCUAACAAUCCAUUCAUGUUUAUCUUUAAUUGUGUUUCUUUUGCAAUUAGCAAAGAGUACUGAAAAUUGCUAUUAUUUGUGAUGAAGGUCUCUCUUGUUCGCCCCUUGUUUAUGUUGUAUGAGGUGCUCUGUCACGCAAUAGGUAACAUAUCAUAAUUCCACAUUGUGCCAUCUGAGAGAUCAUAUAUUGGGCAGGCUUAUUCUCUCGACUUUUUCUUCAUGCUAGGAUGCUUUUGCCUCUUAACAUGGUAGUGGUAGGAGGACCUGUUGAUGGUUUCAAUUGGUGAUGGGCUUAAGGCCCGUCCGUCCAUGCUGGGCCCAAAAGGCCCAGCCCAUGGGAAUAGGGCCCGUGGAUGGGGGAAUAUAUAAAAGGGAGGAGAGAGAGAGAGAAGACAACGUUUUGCAAUUCAACGUACGUCUUCUCUUCUCCCGCGCACUCUCUCCCUUCCAAAAAAGGAACAGUAAGCAAACGGCACUUUUCUUCUUCCCUUCAAGGCGUCAUCGGAUCGAACGGGGCCAGAUUUUCUUCCUCUUGUCGGCGUCGGUGCUUAAUCUGUGGCUAACAAGGUAUACUCGAAUCCGUGGUGUGCUUUACGAUCGAUGAUACGUGUUUUCCGGGCUUCGUCUUCCGCAUUGAUUUAUGGGUUCGAUUCGGUGUCGAAUCCGGUUUUCGGGGAUCCGCUAUUCCCAACAUUGGUAUCAGAGCCCUAGUUCACUUUUUCCCGACUUGUUUGACGUUUUUUUGUUGAUUUUUCGCAAAAGCAAUUCGGCCGUACGGAUCGGGGCGAGAAAUCCCGACACCCGAGCGCUGUUCGGCCAUUUUUCCGAGUUUUCGUAAGUCGAAAUCAAAUUGUGAUGGCAUAGAAAGAAAUGCGACGUCGAGACGAGUCUGGCGAUACGUCGACCACCGCCGGGCGAUGCCGCACGCGCCCACACGCGCUGCCGGAAGGUGCUGCGCGUGGGCGCGACGCGCCCGAAGUGCUGGCAUUGGCUAGCGUGUGCGACACACGCGCCGGUCGGCGAACCGGCGCCUGCACGUCGCCGGCGGGCGAACCGGCACGCGCCGGUCUACGGAUGGACGCGUGCUGACGUCAUGUGAUUAAGUCACCGUGACGUCAUCCAACGGUCGGUAACUGCUCGGAUGACGUCACCGAUGACGUCAUCGCCGACGACGUUUCGCCGGGCGGUUACCGACCGGCGACCCGACCCGACAGGAGACCCGACCCGACUCGCGGACGCAGGCACGCUCCCGGCACGUGCCGGAUGACAUCUGCGUGACGUCAUCCCCGCACGUGCGGUCGGUCCGCUCGAGCGGUCUGACCAGCCCGACCGAUCCGUCCGGUCUGACCGGUCCGACGUCCGACGAUUGACGACCAUUGACCGUUGACCACCGUUGACCGUUGACCGAUAACCGUUGACCGUUGACAAAAAAAAAUGUUUCUUUUUCAAUUAAGUCUAUGUGGAUUAUAAUGCGAUCCCUUAUUUGUUCUGCAUUUGUUGCAGGAACUAUGCCUCCCCUAAGGUUGCGCACACCUAUUCGCACAGUUACCGAUGAACAAAAGGAUAGGCCGUCUAAGUUGAUAGCUGAGCUGACUGAUCAUCGAUGGGAGAGAGGUGACUUAAUUGAUCACGUCCUUGAAGUCAACGGGAAAAUUCAACAGGUCAUAUGGAAUGGUUGUCCUAUGUCACAGUCAGAGAUGGUGCGAUUUUUCAUAAACACUCUUCCACCUGAAUGGCAAGAUGUGUUGAAUCACAUAUGGGAUGUCAACGGAGCUGUUUCUUAUAAGAAAAUUGUGAUGGAUUUUGUAAAUGAAUAUUACUGUAUUGUUUCAAGGGAAAAGAUCAAGAAAUUGAACAAAAGAGGAUCUUUCCCAGUUCGUGUGCUGACUUUGUGUUAGUUGUAUUGGCCGAUAUAUAUUAAGUGUGCUUUGUGGACAACUUAAUGUAAUGUUUACUACCUGAUUGUUGUUGAUGUAGCAACUUAUAUGUUAUUGGUAAUAGUUGAAAGCAUUAUUGUUUUAUUGUAUGUCAAUUAUCUGUUGCUUUCUGUUAAUGCUGGUUGCUGUGAGUAAUUAGCUGUGGGUAGUUUUAGAAGUUUUUGUAGCUUCAUAGAAUUGAUUUUGCAUAUGACAAUCAUAUUAAUGAUAGUUUUAAGUUUGGAUUUUUGGAGGAUGAUUGGAAACGUAGUGACCUUUUGAUUCUGAAGCCUUACUUGAAAUUAUUCAUUAAUAUGAUGGGUCUAUGUAAAUAGGGAUGCAUAAAUGAUAUGCAUUAAUAAUUCGUGCAUAUAUGUCUGAUUUGUUCAGAUCAAUGGCUUCAGCCACAAAGAGCAUAGUUGCCGAACUGAACAAAUGUGAAAAGCUCAAUGGUAACAACUAUGAACUUUGGCACAUGAAAGUCCAAUAUGUGCUGGAAAAGCAAGAAGCACUAGAAGCUCUUGACCAUAUUAUGGAAGAUCUUGAGGAUGCCGUGCGCCACCUUGAGCUAGUAGAGGACCGCCUAACGGCAUUUGAGUCGAAAGUAGACAUUUACAAUGCUGGUUCUAGCUCAGAAAGGGCUUUGAGCUCUAAGCGCAAGCGUAUUGAUUUGUUCAAUAUGUGGGAUUGCAAAGGAUCAAGUCCUUGUUGCAAGAAAUCAAAAGUUAACCAACACAAGAGAGGAAAACGUCAUCAAGUGAAGAAAAUGUCAAGGGUGAGGUGUUACAAUUGUGACAAGAAGGGUCACUAUGCUCGCAAUUGUCGUGAGCCAAAGAAGGUAAACACCCAUUGUACUUUUCAGAACUUUACUUUUGUGUCGAGUUCUGUAUUAUUGACUGAGUCUAAUCUUUUGUGGACUGUAGAUUCAGGAGCGACAGACCAUGUAGCGAAGGAUAAAGGAUCUUUCGUGGAAUUCCGACCGACGAGUACCAACUAGAACUAAGUGAGUCUAUGUGGGAAACAACUCCCGAACAGAAGUGAAAGGAAUUGGCACAUGCCAACUGAAUAUGCGUGGUGGACGCACUUUAUUUCUACAUGAUGUAUUGUAUGCUCCGGAGAUCCGUCGGAAUUUAGUGUCUGUUUUAGUGUUGGUUAGACUAGGUUUUAAUAUGAACUUCCAUAAUAGAGGUGUAGAUUUGUAUUUGGAUACAAACUACUAUAAAAAGUGGUUAUUUUCUGGAUGGUUUCAUUGUAUUAGAUGUUGAGUAUGUUAAUGCAAAUGUUUGUUAUUCCCUUAUCACAUCUCUUAAUACCUAUGAUAAUGAUGUGAAUGUGUGGCAUGCUAGACUUGGUCACAUUGGCCAAUAACGUAUGAAUAGACUAGCCAAAGAGGGCUUGUUGGGCAACAUUGAAAAAGUCGAUUUGCCCAUAUAUAAGCAUUGCCUAGAAGGGAAAACGACAAGGAAACCAUUUGGGAAAAGUAAAAGAGCUGAGUUUCCUCUGCAUUUAAUCCAUUCUGAUGUCUGUGGUCCAAUGGAUGUGAAAGGAAGGCAUGGGGCUGUUUAUUUCAUCACAUUUAUUGAUGAUUAUACUUGAUUCGGAUAUGUUUAUUUGAUUUCUCAUAAAUCUGAAGCAAUAAGUUGUUUCAAAAGGUUUAUGAACCUAGUAGAGAAUCAAUUAGAUAAGAAAAUAAAAGCAUUGAGAUCUGAUCGAGGUCGAGAAUAUUUAUUUGAUGAGUUCAAAAAAUUGUGUGAUGAAAAAGGAAUAGAAAGACAGUUGUCUAUUCCGUACACUCCUCAACAAAAUGGUGCUGCGGAAAGAAGAAACAGAACCCUACUGGAAAUGGUUAGGUCCAUGAUGGCGCAUGCUAACUUGCCUAUCGCCUUUUGGAGUGAUGCAUUGUUAACUGCUGCGUAUAUACUUAACCUGGUGCCUUCCAAAUCAGUUACUUCCACUCCAUAUGAGUUAUGGACAGGUAGAAAACCGAACUUAAGUUUUCUUAAGCCAUAGGGUUGUGCUGCCUAUACACAUAAGUCCUCUCACAAAUUUGGGAAAUUGGGUCUCAGAGGAAAGAAGAGUAUUUUCAUAAGGUACUUAGAACACUCGAAAUGAUAUGUAUUCAUAGGUGAGCAGGAAAGUGGGAGUAUAACUAAGUUUGAAUCACGAGAUAUCACAUUCCUAGAGGAUGAAUUUCCUAAGAAGGGCGAAAUAGGGGAAGAUUGUUCCCUAUUUGAGACCUUGGAUCAAGAUAAUGAUAUUAGUGGAGUUUGUCCAAGUGGGAGUAAUAUGAGAAGUGAUCAAUUACAACCACAUGAUGAGAUGACGUCAUCAUUAUCUAAUCCAAGUGGGAGCAUGAUGGAGAAUGAUGUGCAAAGUGUACAAUCUCCCAUACGGCGAACAAGUCGUCAAAGUAUUCCCCGUCGACGUUUUGACAUUGAAGGGGAAACUUUUAUGGUUGCUCCACAAGAUGAGGAUGAGCCAAGAAAUAUUAAUGAGGCUCUAAAUUGCCCUAGUAAGGAAAAAUGGAUUCUUGCAAUGGAAGAGGAAAUGAAGUCAAUGAAAUCAAACCAAGUUUGGGAACUGGUUGAUCUUCCAAAAUGACGCAGAGCUAUUGGGAACAAGUGGGUUCUCAAAAUAAAGCGAAAGGCUGAUGGUUCGAUAGAAAGGCAUAAGGCUCGCCUUGUGGCAAAGGAGUAUAAUCAACAGGAAUGAAUUGAUUAUGAAGGUACGUUUUCUCCUAUAGUAAGAUUUACCUCGAUUCGCAUUAUUCUGGCAAUAGUGGCUAGUCUGGAUCUUGAAUUACAUCAGAUGGAUGUAAAGACUGCUUUUCUCAAUGGAGAAUUAGAGGAAAAAAUAUAUAUGGAAUAACCUGCUGGUUUCAUAGUGAAAGGCCAAGAAGAAAAAGUAUGUCGACUUUUGAGGUCGAUAUAUGGUCUUAAGCAGUCAUCAAGACAAUGGUAUAUACGUUUUCAUAAUGCCAUAAUGGCAUAUGAUUUUAAAAUGAUUGAUGAGGAUUAUUGUGUAUAUAUCAAAAGAUCCAAGGAUCAAUUUGCGAUCAUAUCAUUGUAUGUUGAUGAUAUACUAAUUGCCGGAAGCAAUAUGGAGUUGGUUAAUACUGUCAAGAGAUGGUUGUCUUCUAACUUUGAGAUGAAGGAUAUGGGUGAGGCUGCAUACAUUCUUGGAGUUAAGAUUUCGAGAGAUCGUUCGAAGAGAUCGUUGUCUCUUUCGUAAGAAACCUAUAUAAAUAAGAUUCUUGAACGAUUUCGUAUGCAAGACUGUAAACCCAUAGACACUCCUAUUGCAAAAGGUGAAGGAUUGAGCCAUAGACUGUGUCCAGGGACUCCACAAGAGAAGAAACAAAUGAAACAUGUUCUUUAUGCUAGUGCUGUUGGGAGCUUGAUGUAUGCUAUGAUGUAUACAAGACCCGACAUAUGUUUUGCAGUUGGAAUGGUGAGUAGAUACCAAUCCAAUUCAGGUCCAGCACAUUGGAAAGCCGUCAAGAGAAUACUGAGGUAUCUGAAGGGAACUGCUGAUUUCAAGUUGAAUUACCAAGGAAAGGAUUUGCGACUUGAAGGCUAUUCAGAUGCUGAUUGGGGAGGAGAUUUAGAUGAAAGAAAAUCUACCUCUGGAUUUGCUUUCUUAUUGAACAAUGGUGCUAUAUCAUGGAGCAGUAAGAAGCAAACGUGUAUAGCCUUGUCCACGAUGGAAGCUGAGUUCGUGGCAUUAUCAGCAGCAGUACAAGAAGGAGUUUGGCUUAAGAGAUUUUUUGAUCAUUUAGGUGUUAAUGAGAAAGCUGCAAAUCCAUUGUUGGUUAACUGUGAUAGCCAAGCAGUUAUAGCGUACACCAAAGAUCCAAAAUAUCAUGGCAAGACCAAACAUAUAGAUACCAAGUAUAAUUUUGUGAAAGAUAUGAUUGCACGAAAGGAUGUGAACUUACAGUACAUAUCUACGCAUAGAAUGGUAGCAGAUCCUAUGACAAAACCAAUACCUAGAGAUGUGUUUGUGGUCAUGUAAAAUCUCUAGGAUUGCGUAAAGUCUGAUGUACUGGAUUGUAAUUUCCCUGAGUUGUUCACAUUUAUGAAAUUUUGUUUUUCAUUGAUUAAUGCUUAUGAAUCUAUGUAUGAUCUUUAUGCAUCUUAAUGCUCAGUGCAUUAUUUUAAGUUGAGAAGUAUGUCGGAAAGAUAUAAGAUUAGCUCACUCACACGGGUAAUCGCCUCUGUUUACUGUGUGAUAAAUAGAGAUGAGACUGUUUUAAGCUUAUUAUCUAGGUGAUAAUCGAGAGCUCAAGCUUAAAAUACGUAUGUCGCCUUAACUGAGUGUUAAGAUGAGGACAUAAUACUAAAGAUGUCCGAAAUUAAAAUAACCCACAUAUUUUACUUUAUCUGUCUAUGAUGCCAGAUGUGAGUUCUGAUGAAUUUUGUAAAUGAGUAGAUACGUGAACUUAAGUUAGACAUUGGGUAUGUCUGAACUAUCAUCUGUACGGUAUUGAAAGGUGUAGACAUACGCUCCAUGGGAAAGGAGUUAAUACCGUAAUACGUAUUUCAUACUACGUAUGCAUGAGACGACCAAUAAGAGUGGCAAAAAGUUUGAUCUCAACUUUUAUGACGUGUGAGACUCUUGAGGAAAAGAGUUCAUCAAUUUUUAGUCCCCUCAGGACUCUUACUUAUUCUCAAGAUUUCUAUUUAGUGUUUGUUAUCUUAGGGUGUUGCCAAUGGUCAUGAGAUGAUUCGAUCUAAUGGGGCAUUUCUAGAAAAGCAAGCUGGACUGAAAUUGAGAGUUUGAAGGAAAGAGGAAGAUCGAUUUUGGAGAAUCACAUUGUGGUUUUGUAUUCACUGGUCGACCAAUUAUGACUAUCUUUGUAAUAAUUAUAAUUGUGAAUACAAUAUAUAUAUAUAAUUGUUUAAAAGAGAUCAAGAGAGAUAUAAAUAUGAUUGAUCGAUCUAGGGUAUUGCAUACUAAAUCUACUCGGAGUAUGACGCCCAUUAUGAGUUGCUAUAUAUUCCUAACAGAUGUAUAGCAACGAGCUCUCAAAGUAUGCUGGUCGCACGGAUUAUUCACCGGUAUGAAUGUUGAAGAGAGGUAAAGAGAAUCCUGUUCGGCCCACCAUGUGCGAGUGGGAGAUGAUGGUUUUAAUUGGUGAUGGGCUUAAGGCCCGUCCGCCCAUGCUGGGCCCAAAAGGCCCGACCCAUGGGAAUAGGGUCCGUGGAUGGGGGAACAUAUAAAAGGGAGGAGAGAGAGAGAGAGAAGACAACGUUUUGCAAUUCAAUGUACGUCUUCUCUUCUCCCGCGCACUCUCUCCCUUCCAAAAAAAGAACAAUAAGCAAACGGCACUUUUCUUCUUCCCUUCAAGGCGUCAUCGGAUCGAACGGGGCCAAAUUUUCUUCCUCUGUCGGUGUCGGUGCUUAAUCUGUGGCUAACAAGGUACGCUUGAAUCCGUGGUGUGCUUUACGAUCUGUGAUACGUGUUUUCCGGGCUUCGUCUUCCGCAUUGAUUUAUGGGUUCGAUUCGGUGUCGAAUCCGGUUUUCGAGGAUCCGCUAUUCCCAACACCUGUUCAUGUAAAUGCUAGGCAGUAUCACGAGAUUUCGAGAUGAAGACAAGCACGUGCUAAGCUUGAAAAGCAAACAUCAAAGUUAGAAAAGUGAAUUGCCUUUUUUAUGCGUGUUGAUUUGGAAGCUCCUUCUGGACUUUGCCAAUUAUAAACAUUAAAUAUAAAGCUUAUUAUUAUUUGAAGCUAUUCUGCUCGUGUUUGUUUCCUUAGCCACAUGCUAGACUGUCAUUAAAUGCUAUGUUUAGGAAAUUCUAUUUUGUGGGAAAUAGUCUAACUGCAUACUUCAUCUUCGUUACAACUUUUGCAGCUAUAAUAGCGUUUAAUUCAUUGGGGAUAAACUUAAUUGAUAUAUUUUCUUAGCUCGUUCUCUGACAUGGUGCCAUUCCUCUCUCUUGUCUUGGUUUAGUUGGAUCUACAGCUGUAUCUUCAUGAGUCGCAGCACCAGCAUGCCAUGAGAAGAGCCAGAGGAAGUGGAGGGCGGUUUCUUGAUCCAUGUAAAAUCAAUGCUUCAAAUGAUGCAACUAAAGAGAAGGGCACAAAUUCUACUCCUGCUCUAUCUCCCAAUCUGCCAGUUCAUUGGGCUCUGUUUGGCACCUGACUCCUCUGAAAUCUGGAAUUCAUCUAGUAGUCACAUGGCUGGAAGGUCGGUGGUGUCAAUAGUUCAAUGUGAUUAAAGUUUUCAAGAAACCGAACCGAACCAAAUUAUAGGGGUGGGCGGCUAAAUCAAACCAAAUCGCAAUUUGAACUAAAUAUAACCCAAAUGAAAACCUGAUUCGAUUUGGUUUAGAUUUCUCUUUUCUUUUUCUUUUUUUUUUAAUGAGAAAAACUGUUGAUAGGAAUGCAUUUUAGUCUAUAAGCGAGCAAUUACCAUUAAAAAUAUUUUUUCCCUCAAAAAAAUGAAUAUAUGUAAAAGCUAUGUAUGUGCUUCUUCUUUUUUCUAGUUUCCUUUGAAUUACUUUUCUUAGUGAGAAAUUUUCAUAAAUGAUAGUAGUAUAUAUACUAGACUGAAUUUUGGUAUGGAAAUAAAUAAGAGUUAGAUGUGAAUCUUGCUCCACUAAAUCUGACAGCCCAAUUGACCUUUAGCAAAUGUAUUAGCCACUUGAAAUACUUGCUCAUGUUGGUCCAUGCUACUUUUAUAUACCGUCCUUGGAAUUCCAUCAUUUAUGCAUCACUUGAUGUUUUUACUCAUUUGUGGAAUUUACAGUUCAUCUUUAUCAUUUCAUACACAGUGGACUAGUCCACUCUUAACUUUUCCAAAACCUAAUGAAUAUGUGGCCCCUUCCUCCAUUAUUUGUGUACCUCCUCCACUUUUUUAUGGGGCCAUCAGCAGAUAACUUACAAAAUCCAAAUGCAUGAGGAUGUGACUCAACUAAUAUCAAGAUAAGGAUCAAGACCAAAUGAAUCUUUGUUUGACAGAUCGAUCAAAUCAGCACUUUAAAAGCUCGAUUGUUAGUUGAUGGUGCUAUGAAGGACUGACUCAACAUUUACUCUUAAUUUUUUUUUUUUUUUUGGUAUUGGAGGAACCGGCUUGCAGCCGACAGCCGCGCUGUAAACCCCCAAGUGACACUUAAGCAGGAGGACCCACCACCCCUGAGUCACACUUAAUACACCUAGCGUCUCCCCUAGGUUUUGAACCCUUCACCUCUUUGUUGAGGAUCAACAGAGUCUUAUCCAGUGGAGCCACCGCGGCCGGUGGUAACAUUUACUCUUAAUUCGUGCAUAUACAUGUACGAAUCAUGUGUCUGCAUCAGUAUAGCUGCACAUCACUCGUCAACGAGAGAGCCAACCCCAAAAAACGCGUGAAGGAUGAGGGGGACCCCCGGAAGUAAAUGAAUAAAGAGGAAGGUUCAUAACUGCGUUGCAUUGCUUGACCUUGACCUGCUCACGCUAUCAUCCACGGCCAUUUAAAUGUGUUAUAAACUAAAUUUUUAAGUUGCAUUUAAGAAAUUUUCUUUUCGUCAAUGUUUGCGAUAGGAACGGUGCACAAAUCGGUAGUAAUUUUUAUUAUCUUUUUGAUACCUAUAAAAAGUCUAGUUUCCUAUGAUAUGCACGCAACUUGAGAUUUUCUUUCGAAAUAUAGAAGACUCAUCGAAAUAGGAGUUUCCUCCUUCAUCUUCACUUCGAUAUUCUACUAUAUUCUUUUUCAUAUUUUUAUUAACUCAAGCCAAUAAGUCAUUGAUACGUUACCGGUUAGUUAAAAGUAAUUUACUUGACUAUUUAGCUAUAGUGAUGGAUGGUGACAAUUGAUUAAGUGACACACUUUUCAUCAAUCAAAUGCAAUUUUGUAUUUCAUCAGCAGUCGCCGAGGGCUUCAUGGCCAUUGCCUAGUGGUCGGCGAGCCUCACUAGAGCCUCACUGGCCAUUGUGGAGGAAAAAAGCAAAAGAAGCAAGAAAAGGAAAAAGAAAAAGAAAAAAAUUUAAAAAAAUUCAAAAAAAUUCAAAAAAAUAUAUCAUUAAAAAUUGUCAAUGUCAAUGCUGGCCGGCGUAAAUUGGCUGGAUGGACCGAACUAGCACAAUUACAAAAUAUUUGGAAUUGAAUUGGCAAAGACAAACGUUUAAGAUUCAAUUGGUAUAAUUAUAAUAUGUUUAGAAUUUUUUCAGUAAUUUUAACAAAAAAUAGGCUCUCUUGUCUCUCUAUCCCCUCGUCACUGAAAAUAAAAAUAAAACAAUGCCAAGAGUUCAGAAUAAUUUAUGCAGUAUGAUCCAAAGCAUUAGCAAAUUAAUUAGAGUAUUUUAUAGCAAAAAUCAUUUUAGUUUUCUUCAAUCCAAGUGCAUGGGACACAACGUCUUCCAUUGUGGAAGCAAAAAAACAUGCCACGUGAUUCACGUUCAUCUUCUACUUUUUUUCUGGAGGGCCAACAAUAUUCCCAAGUGCUGUUAUGGAUGGCUUGCGCAAAUAAAGCAUUGGGCUUGUUCCACGAUGUACCUAACUCGAGAAAAAUGAAAGUGAUUUUUGCUUCAACAAGGAGAGAGAUAUGACACUCCAACAUCGCACCACGAUUAAAGAAAUUAGAAAGCAAUCACUUUCGCCUUAAUAAAAGUGAGCUUUGCUUUCACUAUUCUAGAUUGAAAAGAUGCCAACACCCUUUUCAUUAGUUGUAGGAUAAAUUAGUCCGAUGAUUUUGCCAUUCAAAAAGAGAUUUUUGUCGUGAAAAGUGGUUUUCCUUCUCAAAAAGGAGAGGGAAAAAAAAGUUGGAACAUGAGAGCUGGGUCAUCGAAAGUUGUUUCAUUUGAGACAAUGAUUUGAUUUUUGUGUUCAUCUUGAUAGAGCAAAAAUUAUUAAACUAAUACUUGCCCCAAAAAAUUAUUGAAUGGAUAUAACUUUGCUUCCAGGCAUUAAAAAUUAUCGAGUAGAAUCUUUUUUUUUCUUUGCUCAGUUUUAAUGUGUUUAAAGGGAUCUACAGCAAAAGAUCUUGAAGAGUCACCCAUCUCGAUAAUGUUCCCAGUGUUUCUCAUGAAAAAAAAAUGAUGACUAAAUUAUCUAAUAAACAAUUGGAGAAGUCACAAUUGGCUACUUUAAUUAGUGUUCUCCACCUAUGAAGCUUUGACAUUUCUGUUCUGAAGGAAAGGCGGACAAGAAGUCCAAAAUCUUGUAUAUGGAAUACAAUCAAGUCCUAAAUUCAAUUAAGUCCCAAACCUUCUUCAAAAGUACAAUUGAAUCUUUUUGAUGAACAAUAUCUAAAAUUGUUUCAUGUCACUCAAAAAGUGUUUAUAAAUUGCACUAACAUAAUUUUAGGAUGUAAUUGCAUUUUUCAAUAAAGGUAGAGGAAUUAAUUCAAUCAGUUGAAAAGUAAAGUACUUAUAUUGCAUUGUUUGCUAAAGGUUUAGGACUUGAUCAAAACAAUUUAAAAGUUUAGAAUUGAAUUACAUACAUAUAAGAUUUCGGACAAUUAAGAGUUGUAAUGCAAUUUUUUUUCCCUAAGGGAAACAUCUCAGAGAUAUUAAGAAGUAACAGAUGGAAUAAAGUUAUUCGUACGGUACAUGAGAAUUUUCCCUUUUUCCACUUCAACAAGAAUAUAAAGGGACUCCGCCCAUACCUGCUUUCUCCAGUAAUUUUUGGUCCAUGCACUUACGAAACUUGAAAAUCAUGUCGACCUCAGUGUUUCAAAUUCUUCUGCUUCUGGUUUUCCUCAAGUUGCAAGCAUCAGGUGCUGCACCUGGACUUGCGAAGCCUAACUGUCUUGAAACAUGCGGGAACGUCACCAUUCCCUUCCCCUUCGGAAUAGGAGCCGGGUGUUUCUUCGAGGAAUGGUACCAGAUCGUCUGCAAACAAAACAACACGGUUCCCAUUCUGAAGAAGAUUGGAUUGCGAGUUCUCAACAUUUCACUCCCUGAUUUUGACGUGGAUGGCAUGAUUAACGUUAGUCUUCCUGUAAUUUACUCAAAUGCAAGCUGCGGGGGUGACGGAGCUUGGAAGGAAGUCAAUUUGUCUUCUCCCAGAUAAGGAAUAUCUUUACAUUGGUCGGUUGCAACACCCUGGCCACAGUGAAUACCACACAAUCAGCUUUUGUCGGUUGCAGGUCGAGAUGUGCUGGAACCAACACCAGCUUUAGCUGGAAUAGUGCCUGUUCCGGGAGGGAUGGCUGCUGCCAGACUAUGCUCCCCCUUAACCUUCAAGGCUUUAGUGUGGAUUUCAAAGAAAAAGGUGGACAUCAGGGGUGCAAGUAUGCUUUCUUGAGGUCUGACUUUACAGGUUUAUAUGAUUUGAAAUUGAAUAAGACGGUUCCAGUGGUGCUGGAAUGGGGGAUUGCGAACAAUACUGACUAUGGACGCAAGCUUAUCCAGCAGUCGAAGAUUCGUACUUAUCCUUCCGUAUGUAGUACACAAAGCGUUGACGGCGGUGAAAUGCUAUUUACACGGUGCUAUUGCCUUUGGGGGCCUGGUGGUAACCCAUAUCUUAUGGAAGGAUGCAGAGGUAACACACUCCAUGCUAUCACGUUCCAUUUUUAUUUAUUUUGUAGAUAAUACGGAAUGUGCUAUCACAUUCCGUAUUUAGGGGCAUCAUACAGUGAAGCGGUUUGUUCAUUUCCAGAUUUUUUUUCUGAGAAGAACGCAUUCACACUGUAUAAUGAUUGCAUACAUGCAUUUCUAUCUUCUUUUUGUUAGUUUUUCUGCCCAAGAUUACACAAAGUGAAUGCACUUUCAAACAAAAUCGAUCAAAUUAUAUUGAUAGUAAUUAACUGGAAUUACAGGGCAACAGGACAGUGCUUUAGUUACAAGCACAAUAUUUUAGCCUGGAAUUAACAAUUUAUGUGGAAAUGUGACCUAGCUUUGGUAAUUUUACUCAAGGAGAUUGGUUUCGCUAUUAAUAUAUUUGCUUCUGGUUUCACAACCAUCAGGAGAUGCACCUCAAGUGCGAAGUAACUGUGAUGAAAAAUGCGGGAGCGUCAAUAUUCCCUUCCCCUUCGGAAUAAAAGCCGGGUGUUUCUUGGAUGAUUGGUACCAGAUCGAAUGCCAACAAAACAACAGGGUUCCCAUUCUGAAGAAGAUUGGAUUCCGAGUUCUCAACAUUUCACUCCCUGAUGAAGACGUGAAUGGCAUGAUCAACGUUAGUCUUCCUGUGAUUUACUCAAAUGCAAGCUGCGGGGGUGACGGACGUGGUGCACUGGUAAGCUUAAAAGGAAGUCCAUUUGUCUUCUCCCAGAAAACGAACAUCUUUACAGUAGUCGGUUGCAACACUCUACUGAUAGCGAAUGGUAAAGAAUCAGCUGUUUUCGGAUGCCAGUCAAAAUGUGCUGGAGCCAACUUCACCAGUAGCAAGUAUAGUGCUUGUUCCGAGAGGGAAGGAUGCUGCCAAAGUUCGGUCCCCUUGAACCUGCAGGGCUUUGGUGUGGAUUUCGAAGAAGAAAGCGGAGAUGAGGGGUGCAAGUACGCUUUCUUGGGGUCUGAUUCAGGUGUUUAUGAUUUGAGACCGAGUGAUAAGGUUCCAGGGAUGUUGGAGUGGGGGAUUGCAAACAAUACCAAGUAUGCACUUGACCUUCAAGGACGGGGUCGCUAUAAUGAAUCUUUCUACUGUACAAAAUUUAAAAGUUUGAGCAGUGAAGUAGAAGGAAUUAUAUAUAGAUAUAGAAGCUACAGCGUCAACAGUGGUGAAAUAUUAUCUGCGCAGUGCUAUUGUCGUAAGGGGUAUCAUGGUAAUGCCUAUCUUAGUGGAGGAUGCGAAGGUAACAUAUUUCAUGCUAUCACAUUGGGAAUUUAAGUGCACAAUACAGCGAAGUGGUUUGUUCAUUCCCAGAUAUUCCCCUGAGAAGAAUUCAUACACGCUGUUUAAUGAUAACAUGUAUAAUUUUUUUUUUUUUUGGCCCAAGAAUGCACAAAGUGAUGCACUUUUAAACAAAAUUGAACUUAUUAUAUUGGUAAAAAUUUACUGGAAAUAAAGGGGAACAGGACAGUCCUUUUGUUACAAGCACGAUAUUAUAGCCCUGGAAUUAGCAAUUUUAUGAGGAAAUGCGACCUACUAGCCUCCUUAAUUUUACUCAGGAAGAUGGGUUUUGCUGCUAAUAUAUUUAUGAUAUCAUUUGUCAGCAGAUAUUGACAAAUGUAAUUCACGGUGCCCCGGGACUUGUGUGAACACAGGGACCUCCUUUCGCUGCGUCGGUGGUGGAAAGACCAAGUUCAUUCUUAUUGGUAAGCUGAUCUUUUAACCUAGAAUUUUAGAACGCUUCAUGCUGGCGAAUUGCUAGAAAAAGAACAGCAUAGCAUAAAUUAUGUUCAGAAAAGGUACAUAAAUAAGAUUUACAUUACCCUUCGUUCUAAAAUGAUUGUCCAUUUGCUUGGUGAUGAUUAUAGAUAAGUUUCCAUCAAUAGUACCUAUCAAAACAACCUCAAAACUUUCUUCGUGCACUAAUACUUAUAUUUGAUAGCGAAGACAGCACUUAGAACUUUUCUAAUGUUGCCGCUUCAGAUCUAUCAAAAGAUAACCAAGGUUCCUACUUACUCCUGUCGUAUUUGAAUUGGAAUUAUUACAAUCAUUAUCAAGAUGAAUGCUGGUAGGAUUUUUUUCACUUUCAUCAAUGGUUAUCUCAUUUCCUAGUAAGGGAGAUUAGUUGUACAAUCCAGAUGUAUGUAUAAAAAAAUUACCUGAUGGAACUUAGCAGGAGACAAAUUAAUUAUUCAAGAUUGUUAAGAAAAAUCCACAUGAAAGGAGCUCAGGUUAAUCACUCUUAUAUGAUUUCCUCUUAAUCGGAUUCACUAAAAUAUUUUAUGAUAAGACCUUAUAGAUAAAAGAAGGGUGCAUUUUUUGGACUUUUGCCCCCUAAUUUUUUGUAAUGCAGGGGUUGGGGCAGGCCUUGGGGCACUACUUUUGUGUCUUGUCUUAUGGGGGCUGUACAAAUACAUCAAGAAGAGAAAAGAAAUCAAGCUUAAAGAGAAGAACUUCAAACGUAAUGGCGGUCUUUUGUUGGAAUGUGAGCUAUCUUUUGAAGGCCAUGUAGAGAAAAACAAAUUAUUCAACUCCAAGGAUCUAGAAAAGGCUACUAACAAUUUCAACGAGGAUAGGAUACUUGGGCGAGGUGGACAGGGUACUGUUUACAAAGGAAUGUUAACGGAUGGAAAAAUAGUUGCUAUUAAGAAAUCGAAAGCAAUAGAUGAGGGCAAAGUCGAACAAUUCAUAAAUGAAGUCCUCAUUCUCUCACAGAUCAACCAUAGGAAUAUCGUUAAGUUAUUGGGGUGUUGCUUGGAGACAGAAGUCCCACUUUUAGUAUACGAGUUUAUACCAAAUGGGACUCUAUACCAAUAUUUGCAUGACCCAAUGGAAGAGUAUCAUGUCUCAUGGGACACACGCCUACGAAUUGCAACUGAAAUUGCAGGAGCCUUAUUCUACUUGCAUUCGGCAGCCUCAAUUCCCAUUUAUCAUCGAGACAUCAAGUCCACUAAUAUCCUCUUGGAUGAGAAAUAUCGGGCAAAAGUGGCAGAUUUCGGUGCUUCCAAGUCUGUUUCCCUCGAUCAAACUCAUGUAACCACGUUGGUGCAAGGGACUUUUGGCUACCUAGAUCCCGAGUAUUUCCAAUCAAGUCAAUUUACAGACAAAAGCGAUGUGUAUAGCUUCGGAGUUGUUCUUGUUGAACUCUUAACAGGACAAAAGCCAAUCUCGUCGCUAAGGGAACAAGAAGGCAGAAGCCUUGCUACCUAUUUCAUAAUUUCAAUGGAAGAAAAUCGGUUGUUCGACAUUGUAGAUGCUCAAGUUUUGAAAGAAGGUAAGAAGGAAGAGAUUGCAUCAGUUGCUGACCUUGCGAAAAGAUGCUUGAACUUGAAUGGGAGGAACCGGCCUACAAUGAAAGAAGUGGCAAUGGAGUUAGAGGGGAUGAGAAAGCUCCCAAAUCCUUUGGGUAUUCAGCAAAAUCAAGAGGACCGGGAGGCAGCUGAAUCUUAUGCUACUGCAUGUAAGUCCAGCAAGUCAAAUAUCGACGCUGAUGUCACUACAUUUUCGGAUGUGCAGCCAUUCUUACCUAGUGAGACCUGGUGAAGAUCUUCUUUGCCUCUUACACUUGUGAUUUAUAUUGCUGCGUUUGUCAUGGAAAUCAGUCUUCAGAGCAAAGAAAGAGAAGAGAGAAAGGAGGAAAGCUUGUUAAUUUACUAAUAGGAGGAUUUUUGGUUAGUUAUUUAUUGGUAAUGAACUAGUACUCGGUGUUUGGGAUCAAUGAACUAUUAAGUCAUGCCAAUCCCAAGUUUAUUCUAGUUUUGUAAUUAGCAUGAUGCCGUGAUUUCAGCUCAUCUUGAGAUCUUUAAAUACUUGCUGUCAGUUCGGUUGUUGCAAAACUUACAUCAGUCAUGCAGUGGACCAGCCUUUGCAAUUCAAUUAGAUUUGUACUUGCUGAGAAGGAAAAACAAGAAUGACGUUUCCCUUCUGGAAAAGAAGGUGAACUUGCAUCCGCCUUCCCCGCCCGGCUCUUCCCUGAAGAUCACACUGAAUUGCUGAUGGCAUAAAGGGAUUGUUGCCGGUUGCCGAUGCUCCGACUACUUAGAUCCUCACUACGUGAUGUAUCAAACUCACCACCCGAACCACAUAUAUCAACAUCAAAAAACCCCACUAGUUGCAGAAUUAUCUCUCCCAAUCCUAGCCAACCUUACUUGUUUCAAUGGCAAAAACAGAAACAGUAAAAAAUCAAUCGCGCAUUGACCAACUCGUAUAUAAGAGAUAUUUACUCCUCAUUCUAAGCAUAGAAGAUGUUGGAUGCUCUUUUUUCAUAUUUCCAUUGAUUUUGUCACGAUAGUAGUGUUUGAUUAAAUGCCCUUAAGGAACGUAAGUCAUGUUGUUUGUAGAAUAAAGUUCAUGGGGAUCAUAAAUUGGUUUUAUGUCUUCAUUAUUCAUGCUGACAUCCGAAUUUUUGUAGACGUGUUAAAUAUCCAUUUAUUUUGCAAAAAUAUAAAAAUCUAUAAAAAAAUAUAAAUAAUAAAAAUCAUAAGAAUAUGAUGAUGAUGAUGAUGAUGAUGAUGAUGAUAAAGAAGUAAUAGUAUUAAAAAAAAUGCAUGAGAGUGAAAAAAAGAAGAAGAAAAAGAUGAAAAAAUGAAUGGGAAAAGUCGAGUGGGAUCGUGUAGCACGGCCCAUUCUUUUAUUUCUUUUUGAGCCCACUCUUAUAUUUUUCUUCCAGCCCAUUCUUUUGGCCCAUCCGAAAUUAAAUAAAAGAGAGGCCCAGCCCAUCAUCCCUUUUCUUUGCGCACGCGCGCCCGCACACGAGGGAGGGGGUGAACCCAGCGGCAAUGGUUGACAAAAAAAAAAAAAACCCAGCAGCAAUGGCGCCAUUCUAGUGACGCCAGCAGCGAUGACGCCAGCAGAAGGAAUAUUCCAGCUGUCGUCACUUGUCAGAGGAGUGGAGAAAGGAGGCAACAAGAGGGGCGUGCAAGGCAGAAAAGGAGGAGAGAAGGGCUCAGUUCGUGGGGGGUUGGCCAAAUAAAAAAUAGAAUAAGUAUAUUAAAUGUGUCAAAAGUUAUAUAUGAUGCUCACUUUAGUAUUAAAAUUUUUCGUUUGUUCAAUUAAGUGCUAAAUCAGAAGAAAAACAAUUUCUUUAAUACUAACGGCAAAAAAUUUCAGCCAAAUUGAUUAAGUGUCAUUUAUAAUUAAAAUUAUAAUAUGACUUGGCAAAAUUUUUAAAAAAUCCAAUCCACAUGAUAUUUCCACAUGGCAUGCUUGGCAUUAAAGUAAUCUUUGUUUAACAAUGACUAAUACUGAAGCGAUCACUUUAAAUAAAAUUUGUCACUCAAAUGCUCACUUUUAAUAAAAUUACUUACUUAAAUUAUCACUAUUUACAACUUUUGGAUAACAUUGUUUAGGGGUUAUAUGUUGACUAGGCAAACUGGCAAGCCACAUAGGACUGAAAAAUUAAUAAUAUAUAGACACGUCGGAUUUUUGGCAAUCCGAACUAGAGUUGACACUUAGAUGAUCAUUUUUGUUGACACCUAAAUUUUGGCGACCCGUUUAGUCAUUUAUUGCAUUAAAAAAUUAAGGGUUAAUUUUAUCCUUGAAAAAAUAGUCAAUUGCAUAACAUAUAGUUUUAGGUGCAUUUAUGUUUUAAUUUGCAUUUACAUUGGGCCGGUGACAAAUGGGUUCAAAUUGAUGGUUAAGAACUUUAACUUGAUGAGUCGGGCUAAGCCCACGAAGAAAGCAAAUCGGUCCAAGCCCAUAUCCUCGGGGAGAUUUUAUGGAUUUAUCUUUGUAAGAUUUCAAUUGAAACAGCAAAUAUUCCAUUUGGAAAAAAAACAAAUAUUGCGUUUCGAAAAAAAAUCUACGUGGAGAUGAAUUUGGAAAAUUUUAAAACCCUAAUCUGUGCCUUAUAAAUAUGUAAAAAAUACCUAGGGUUGAUGGAGGCCACAAAAUCAAUACAUACGGCCACAAAAAAGGAGGAGAACUCACGUUCUCCGUGGUUCUCCAGGGUGAGGGGCGGCAAUUCAGAAUCUCAGAAGGCAAACACAUGUAAGAAUCGAGAUGAGAGAGAGAAAGCACGAAGGAUGGUCUUCUUCUUCGGUGCUUGACCUACCUCAGCCAUGUGAUCGUCCAAUUUGCUUGCUCGCCACCACUCUACGAAGAUACUGGAUUCGUAAACGAGUGCAUCGAGCGACACUGUCCCUUGGCCAAACACCGUGACGAAUUGCUGUUCCGUUGAUCUUUGUCCCGUGAUCCUGUUGUUCUGUAGCAAAAAAUUACUCCACGUUGUCUUGGUUGUUGCAGGUAUGAUUCGUGAGUGACAGGAGAAGAAAUAAAGAGAGAUCGUGGGUGCGAGCCAGAAGAAAUAAAUAUUGCAAUGCCCUCGAAGAUUGAAGAUGGUGAUCCAGUGCCGUCAUUCGUCAGAGUAGUUAGACAAUUUAGUCAAUCAUCCACUCAUGGUCAAAUGCAACGGAAGCAAAAAUUCUUGAAAGCCACAAGUCAAAACAGACAAGGCUAGAGAGAGGGAGGCGGCAAUGUACAGAGAGGAAAUUUUUCACUCCCCGCUGGUUUUUGCUCACACAUCCAGGGACAACACCGCGUCCACCCCUUCAUUGGCAUCUGUCAUGUUGUGUGCCUUGUCCCUGUAAUUUUAUUAUUUUCUGCAGAUUUUCCACGCUAGCCUGGUUCUUCGUCUUCGACCACCAUUGCUCCUCGGCAUCCUAGCGAGUUCCGGAGCCUCGGAGCCCACCGCCGUUGACGUUCUAACCCGUUUCCAUCGAGACCAUGGAGCAAUAAGCCAUCGUUGAUGCCACCAUCAUCCGUCCGAAUUUGGGAGCGUCACUCGCGUGACAUCAUGAAUUAGGUAAGACUCUUGAAUAAUCUUAUUUUCAUAUAUGUCGCUGCCUAAUUCGUAAUAUCGCAAUAUUUCUUUGAAUGUUUGAUCGAUAUUGCCAUAUUCAAGAGAUCUCUUGAUCUCUCUUGAAUUAGGAAAUUUUCAUAAUUUCACAACGUGCAUAUGAUUGAUAGUCCGGUUUCACGCUCGAAAUAUGACUCGCAAUCGCACGGAAAAAUCGCCAAUCCGAUCUCACGCUCGAGAUACGAUUCGCGAUUUUAUUUGAAAUUGGUCAAUCCGAUCUCAUGCGCGAGAUACGAUUCGUCAAUUUAUUUCCAAAAUGGACAUGGAUGAUAUCUUGCUUCUGAUUUGUUGCCGUGCUGUUCUUGAUAUCUUAUUUUGAUUGCUCCCGUAAAAGAAAGAAAAAAAUCCAAAAAAAUCUAAUUAGAUUAGGUUUGUUUUAGAAUUUUCCUCGUUUUAGGGUUAUCUUGCAUGAUUAGAAUAGGAAAUUUAUUUAUUUCGAAUUUUGAAAAAAAUGAAAAAUCCAAAAAAAUGCAUUCAUUGAGGAUGUUAGUUUUUUCUUUAAUUUAAGUUGCAUGUUUAGUUAUGUGGCAAUUUUAAAUUUCGAAUUUUAUAAAAAUAAAAUAAAAUAAAAAUAUCAUGCAUAUAUCAUGUAGAAUUAGGGCAUUCUUUGCACGUCAUUGCAUGUUAGGAUUGUAUAUUAUAGGUUUAGAUAAUUUCUCCUAAAUAGAUUGCAUGCUUAUUAGGAAAAUAAAAAUCCUGUGCAUGUCAUAUAGAAUUAGUUUCAUACAAUACACGUCAUUUAGUGAUUUUUGUUAGGUUCAUUUAAUUAGAAAUUGCCCAUCAUUAGAAUUAGUUCAUUAGAUUAAUUUAGAUUGCAUAUUUAAAUGUUGCAUUUCUUUAAUUUCGAAUCUCAUAGAAAAUGCAAAAAAUUAUUUAGAAUAAAUCCAUCUCAUGCUUAGGAUAGACUACAUGCUUAGUUAUGUCAUAUUGCUUAGGUCAUAUAGCUAAGUCAUGUUGCCAUGUCAUAUCAUUUCAUGUUAAAUUAGUGGCAUGCAUUGCAUAAAGCAUGAUUUUCAUUAAUUAAGUGAAAACAAAAAAAGAAAUUGCGUGUUAAUUAGAAAUCAUAUUUAGGACUGCUGAUGUGAAUUCUAAACUAACAAUGCAGGUGCUUUCGUUACUAUGAGGUAAGUCCUGCAAUUUAUUUACUGCUUUACUUGGGUGUUAAAUUGGUGGUUUGCGCACCCGCCGCAUGAUCGCCUCACAUGUUAAAGAAAUAGAUUUAAAAUCAAUCCAAACUGCUUGCCAAACAUUUUUCAAAAUAAAAAGAAAGGUACCGAAAGGGCGUUAGAGAAUUCUAGCGUAACCAAGUCCCCGUACCCAUAGUCUCUGGUUCGUAGGAGUAAAAUAAUUCUCCCGUUAUUUUACUUGGGUUUCUAAUCGACCCACCAAAAAUAGAUUAGUGGCGACUCCUAAUUGAAAAUCAAUUGUAUGUUAAGAACUUGAACCUAAGUCGCGAAUUGGUAUGGGCUUGAGAGAGCCCGAGUUAAGUCUAGGCUUAACAAUUCAUUAGCCAAACCCUAGGUGGUUCACCCGCGAAAAAAAUCGGGUCGCGACAAUUUUUUUUUUUAAAAAGUAGUACUUAAGUAAUCUGAAAAAAUAUUUAACACAAAAAUAAGCAUCGUACACAACUUUUAGCACUUUUAGUGUUCUUAUCCCGAGAAAAAAUAAAUGCAAGAGAGCCAUUCUUUCGGGAAAAAAAGAAGAAAACAAGAGAGAGGAGAGGCUGAGGAGAGGACGUUUUUGGUUUUUCCCUAGAGUGACAAGCGAGGUUGCUGGAGCUCAUUUCAAAGUCGAUCAAAGGUCCAUGCGGAGUUGUCCUUCAUCAUUUCAAUAUUUUGUCUAGAAAAUUUCAAAAAAGGACCCAAAAUGUCCUCAUUUUCUUAAAUAACGACUGAAGCAAACCUUAUUUUAAAUAAGAGCAUGAAGUGCUAUUACUUUUCUCAAAUAAAAAUCCGAAGUGAAUUUUUUUUUUUUUAAAUAAAGGCUUGAAGUGACUAUGUUUAUUUUAAGUAAGGGCCUGAUUUUUUGGCUAUCAACGGUAUUUUCGUUCUUUACCAUUUUCCCUUUUUUUCUUUCUUUUUUCCUUUUUUCCUUUUUUCUUUCCUUUUUUUUUGUGGUUCUUCUUCCUCUCUGUCAACGGCCGAUCGGCCAACCACCUGUGAUGGGUUUAGAGGGCUAGGUGAGGGUUAUCCUUGCCCAAUUCAACAAGGGCCACCCAUGCUAGCCGUAGGUAAGGGAUGGCGUCACCUCGAUGAGGCAACCCUCACGGCCAUCCAAGAGGUCGACCCUCACCGGCCACAAGUGGGGGCUCCACAACCCUUGCUAGCGGUCGGCAAGGGUCGUUGAGCCCUCACUAACCCCAAGCGAGGCUGAUACUCAUUAGAUUUGGUGAGGGUGGCUAGUGCGGGCUUGCAGGCCCUCACUCACUGUUAGUUAGUGCUUGCAAGCUCUCGUCAAUCCUUCCCAGCAACCGAAAAAGGUGGCCCAGCCCUCAUCGGCCCUUCCUAGCGACUAGCGAGGCUGAUGUCAAAAAAUAAAAUGAAAAAGGAAAAAGAAAAAAAUUGGCUGAAAAUGCUCUCGACCGAUCAAAAAAUGUAGCUAGCUAGCGGUCAACGAGGUCAAGCCCUUAUUUAAAAUAAUCAUGGCUACUUGAGGGCAUUAUUUGAAACAAGCAAAGUCACUUCAAAUCCAUAUUUGAAAUAAAAUUCACUUCAGAUCCUUAUUUAAAAAAAUGAUGACACUUUGGAUUUUUUUUGGAAUUUUCAUGGAGUGGCUUCAGCCUAAACUCUCUCUCCAUCGCCAAUCAAGAUCUUGACUCGUCUAAUAUACCAAUACCAAGUAAGAUUCCCCUUUCUGGAACCCCAAAAAGAACCGCCUGGGUUGAUUCAUGUCUUGGCGAAAUCUUGUUAAACCGGAGUAAUUUCAUAUUGAGCUAUAAUACUUUGAACUUGGAAUACAAGUUUAUUAAUUGUUGACACCUAAAAAAAAAAAAUUAAUUAAAAAAUUAAUUAAAAAGAUUAAAAAAAAAAAGAAAAAAAGUUGGGGCCAAUGAUCUAAAUGUGACUAGCCAAGCUCAGGAGGUCAUAUUGGAAUUAAAAUGGCAAAUUGGGGCAAAAAUGCAAUUUUCAAAAGUUGAGGGACCAAUUCGCAAAUUUUGUAAAAUUUCACCCGAGCCCUUAAAUCAUCAUCUUAGCCCCCAAUUAAGUUGAAAUUGAACUUGGGUCAGGUCUAAUUAAUCGAAUUGGGCGAAAAUGACCGAAUUACAUUGAAUUGGACAUUUUCGGGCAAGAAAAUGGCCAACUUUGAGGGACUCUCUUGCAAAAUUGGGUGGAGACAAUUGCGAAAAAUGGUCAAGAUCUUAAGCUACUAUACAUGAGGUUGCUAAUUGAUCAGAAAUCGCGGCCAAAUUGAUGGAUUAAAGCACUCAAACCAGCUACCAAAACCCAGCCCACGGUUAGGUCUUAAUUCGAAGCUACUAAGUAGGCAUAUUGGUGGCCCCACCAUAUCUCACUCAGCCGCCCAUUUAGCUCGAUAUUUGCACGUGAUGGAAGACCAUAUAUAGGAGUGCAGGUGGACGGAAAUUGGCCAGGGAUAAGCUCCUGACAGCACCGUAAAAUCGCAGCAAAACCUGCACACUCAACAGCUGCAGAAUUAAAAAAAAAAAAUUGACUAAGUCAGGAGAGUGGGUGGACUAGCUCAGUUGGCAGGCUUGGUAGGGGGGAAAAGCUGACCAAAAAUCCCUCAAUUCAGGGGAUAAGAUCACGGAAGCAAGGUAUUCCGAGAGAGGGGAGAGAGGAGACGAGAGGGAGAGGAGAGAGCUCGGAAUCGUUCCCCAAAGACACCUUCAGAAGCAACUCCAGAAAAAAAAAAAACCCAGAAAACCCAGACUGACCUUGAGAGAGAAAAGUGAGAUUUUCACAUACCUGCGGCCAAAAUUAGCCAAAAACGUAAACUAGAGAGUGAAACUUCACUCAAAGAUAUUUCCAACCAUAGGUCGCACGUCCCAAAUGGAGAUUGGGAAGGCCUCCUAAAGCCCCCCGAAACAGUGCCCUCCUGGCGGGCCAAGAAAGUCCGAAAAUUUUUCUAAGUGUUGAGCCCGGUUGGUCACGAGUGAGAGAAAGCGAGUGUUUUUGAGACAUUUGAGAGACAAAUGGGAAAAACAUGAGUUCAAACCCAAACUAUAAUACAUAUAGUUUGGAUUGGUGUCCAUUGUUUCAACAAAAGAGGUCCUAAAGCUUGAUUUUGGAGGUCAAUAAGAACCUUCGUUAUCAGUUCUUUCUUUGCAGAUCUUGUUUUCCAGUUGAAGAAGCCAAUCUCCACUUGCCUCCCGAGGAUAAGUUCUUCGUUUCCUCGGGCAAGAACCACUUGAAAACGAAACUAGGAAGCAAGGUAAGUAUCCUAGAUGUAUUUUUGUUUGAUUUUGAACGUGUUUUCAUAGUGAAAAGUCAAGAGGGAAACCAGCUCGGAAAACUGAUUUCUGAGGCCGUAUUUUUUUCUAAGUGUUGAAAUUUCUUCAAGAGUUGUGCAUGUGUGCUUCUUAGAGAGGUCGUUUUGAUGCGUUCGUUCGGUCAUUCUCUGUGAUGCUCCUUAUAUUUGAAAGCUCAUGUUACCUACUUUCACUUGGACCAAGUAAUGUUUCCCUUAGAUCUUUCAUGUGAUAAGUGACGGGGCUUUGAAUAUGGGCAUGCAACCUGUUUGUUUGAUUUGGGUUCAAACCCAGAUUUGUAAAAUCAGUUCAGACUUGCAUAUUUGAGACCGAUUUCAACCUAGUUCUUGUGUGUUUUAAGCUAUUAUUUCUAUCUGAUCUUGCUCCCUGCAUGUGGUAAUAUGAUCUUGAUACUUUAGUUCCACAUAAGAUUGUUCAUGCGUUGAGAUUGAAGGCCGCAAACAUAGCCCGAGGAAGCUGGUUUGGGAUGAUUUGAUGCACGCCAAGUGUUCGACGAAAUGCGCAAACCAAGUUUCGAUCUUGAAACGGUCGAUUUGAGCUUGGUUCUUGUUAUAUUCAUGUACUGGGCAGUCCCAUAUUAGUGUAAAUCGUCAUAUAUCGGUUUAGGGAAUUAAUUUUAAAUAAAAAAUUUUAAAAAAUAAAAAAUAUGAAAAUUUCAAAAAAAUUUUAAAAAUGAUGGAUGAUAUCAAAUUAUGAUAGAAAUGACAUUUAGGAAAUUUUCCUAAUUUUAAAAAGGUCAUUUUCUUAAUUUAAUGAUUUUUUGGUAUUUUAUAACCAUUUUUGUAAAUAAUCCAUUUUGUGUAGAUUAAAACUAUUUAAAGUAAUUUCAUGCAUAUAGAGUAAUUUCAAGCAUAUUUGAACUCUGAUUUUGCUCAUGGGGGUCCUGUCCCGGGGCGUGAUAACAAGGCCAUGUAAUAUUAUUUGCCCGACUUGUAUCGGGUUUACCUUUUCCGUGUUUAUUUUCAAGUCAUUUCAAUUUCUUGGAUGUUUACUUACGCGCCACUUUUCAUUAUUUUGAGUGUAAAUUCUCUUCUAAAUUAUGUUAGGAUUAGUCUAGACAUUAAAAAAAAAAACUACAAAAACAUUUGCAUGGACACUUAGUGGUUUCAUAAAGAUUAUAAUUGGUAAUCAAGAUUGCGUGGCCAUUUAGAUAAAUAACCUUCCAAGUUAGUGGUACCGCAAGGGCGCUAAUAGAAACAUUGGCGUAAACAAGUCCCCGUUCCUAGAAAUCUCUGGUUGCGUAGAAAUCGAGGCAACACUCCCGUGUCUCGGUUGGUUUCUAGCCGACCCCAAUAGGCUAGUGGCGACUCCUAGAAGUACAUAGGUCGUUAAGAAUUAAAAUUCAAAAUCCAAUGUUGCGUGAGGUAUGGGCUUGGGAGAGCCCACGCCUAAUUUAGGGCCGUUGGUCCGCUUCUUUAGGCAAAUACCCCUAAACCCUCUUCUUUUUCCCCGGACGGAAAAAAGAGGUCGUGACAUUAAUGAACACCAAAUACUCGAUGUAUUUCUUAAAUGAAACACAGAAUGUUUGAGAACCCCGAACUUGAAUGGAGAAUUUCAAGUGACUCGUGAUAGACUGAGAUGGGUUUUGCAUGAAAAUGUAUUGAUUCCAGCCUUUAUGCAUCAUGUUUAGUGCAUAGGUUGCAAUAAAUUUCGCUCUGGAAUGCGUGCUUAAAAUCGCAUAUCAAUCGUUUGAUAAAAUGGCUGAGAGAAUGCCAAGUAUUGAUUCAUCAUUGAAUCCCGAGAUAGAUCCGUUCAUGUUUGCUUCUGGGUUGGUUGAAUCUGCUAUGAUAUUCUUUUUUCUCUUUGUCUGGCUAUGUGAUUCUCUGGGAACGAUCGAUCGCCGACGAGCGAGCCGAGAGUCCCCCCUUUGGCUGAAGCUCUCACUUCACAUCGGUGAAUCCUGCUGUCCAAGGCUACUCUUGUUAGGCCAUUCUCUCCAUAUUCAUGUAUUUAUGUUCGCAUCUUUUUCUGGUUUGCUGAUUUUAGAAGCCAUGGUUCGCUUAGUUUUUGUUUCGGUGAAUUUGUUUUGGGCCGCCGGAGGAGACGGCCGGUGAUGGGCCAGCGGCAGGUAGUGGUAGACGAUAGACCAGCCAGUGGUGGCCUAAGUGGAUGACCAUAGAGGGUAAGGGUUGUAAGAGUUUUCUUUAUAUGGGCUACAUUGAGAUUAUAAUUACCGUUUUAUGGCGUUGGUCUAAUAAGGUAAGGCAUAAGGUUUUCUUAAUGGUCGAAUAUGGGCCUGGCAUUGUGUGGGCCGAGUUAGGCCUAGCCCAUGAUGAGAGAGCCCGUCCAAAACUCUAUAAAUAGCGUUAAGGUCCCUCAUCUAGCCCUAACUCUUCCAAAAUUCUCUCUCAACUCACCUAAGGCAAGUUGUGAGUGGCGAUCUCAUCGAGCCAGGAAUCGAGGGUAAUAGAGGAGAAGAUCUUUAGCGUUAAAAGCUCGGAUUGCUAUUGGAUUAUCAUCAUUCCGCAUAAAGAAAGAUGGAUUCCAAAUAAGGUACACAAAUCUUUGUAUUCUCCUCCUACAUGUUUGGUUUUCUAGCUACGCCAAUCCUAGAAAGCCGCUUCGACGGCCAACAUUUGGUAUUAGAGCCUCGUAGCCUAAAACCUGAACUGUUGCUUCUGGCCCGUUUUCAGAAAAUUUGCAUGUUGAAACUUGAUUUUGAAAACAUAUUUGGGAUUCUUCUCGUUAAGCUGAGUGUUUUGGUGGGUGGCACGCCUCCGGCGGAGAUCAACUGCUCCGGCAAUGAGAAUUUUGAGUUUUGCCUACCCUCGGAACAUUUUGCUUGUUUAUGUGAAUUUUGGUCCGGUGAAAGUGAAUUUUUAUUGUAUAAACGGCUUCUACUCUUCAAUACGAGCAUUUUGAUGGGUCGAACGUCUUUAGGCGACGCCGGAAACGGCCGCACACGCUCCCACGCGCCGAGACGAAGCUUGGAGGUGGUCCCACAUGCCGCCUCACGCGCGCGCACGCACAACGACGCGUGGCUCACGCGCCUACAUGCCCGCGCAUGCACGCCGACACGUGGCUGACACAUGACUUCGCACACGCGGACCACUUGAGUUGUCUCGCCACCGCCCACACAUGUCGGCGGAUGACAUCAUGAUGACGUCACAUAAGCCGCCUUACAUGCGACCACCACGUGGCAUGUGACGUCAUCGAUGACGUCACCACAAACCUGAUCGGUCGUUGACCAGGUCAACCCGACCCAGGUGGACCGAGUUGACCCAACCCCAGUUGACUCGACCCGGUUGACCGAGUUGACUCGACCCGGUUGACUGUUGACUGAUUCGAUUCAUUAACCAGUCAAAUCAGUCGGAUCGGCUUCAGGCCGGUUUCUGGACGCCAGUGCAUGCGGCUCACACGCCGCACACUCUAGCGGCGCGUGAGGGCGCAUGUAAUGUCGGAUUGGUGCGUGGCUUAUACCGUUGUGCUCGUAUAUAUGUUAUCCACACUAUUAUUGGCUUAUUUUAUAUAAGUGAUGAUUUUAUGAAUGUGAAAAUGCAUGUGAAACCCUAAGGUACGUGAUUUCGGGGGUCUUUUUUACGUAUUUUUCAUGUAUUUCUUUAUGGUUUUGGAAAUACAUUACAAGCUCACAUGUAUAUCAUCACAUAAUGAAUGUGUAAAGCAUCAAUUCANNNNNNNNNNNNNNNNNNNNNNNNNNNNNNNNNNNNNNNNNNNNNNNNNNNNNNNNNNNNNNNNNNNNNNNNNNNNNNNNNNNNNNNNNNNNNNNNNNNNAAAUCUUUUUGUUAGUUAUAUGAAUUAGAAUGAAUCCUGCUACUAGGAAAGUGAAAUUGAAUUUUUCCAUCAUCCAUAAAGCGUUCCAUUUAUGACCACUUGAAAAUAAUUUACCAGCUGACUGCAUUAUUAGAAGGAUGAUGAAAAUAUUGGUGACUUGAAAUUUUGUCUUGUCUAUUACCAAAAUUGGUAUAAAUACAAUGACUCUUCAAUAUAAAGUGUGAUGGUUCUGAUGAGGUUAAUGAUUACGUCCUAAGGAUAGUAAAUUUAAAGUCCAUAAUCAUACUCAUAAAAGAAUUCAUAAAACCACCGGUCAUUCUGACAAUUUGAUCUUAGGAUAUCACCCUUAAGAUAAAUUGUGUUAUUCACUAUUUUUGUGGGAAGAAAUGACACAUAAAGAUAUUGUAAUGAUAUAAAACUUGAUUGUCCAAGUGUGAGUCUAGAGUUAAUAAUUCAUUGGCAUUUAUUUAUGAAUUCAAUUCCUAUCAAAAGCCUCAUCUAGUUCUUAGUGGUUAAAUAGCGGUGCAACAAAUUAUGUUGUUUACCAUAAAGGAAUUCAUAAAUCUAAGGAAGCCAAAUUAGAAUGAAUCAUAACUCAUCACAGGAAACAACAUUUAACGUCGUUUUAGUGGGAAAUGUUGUUUUGACUAAGGAUACCGGUUAAUAUUUGACGUUGAAAAACACUUUUAUGUACCUUCCUUUAGACGGAACUUAGUGUCCGUAUCAUGUUUGGAAAUGUACGGCUAUUCUUUUGAGAUAAAGGAUAGUGUUAUUGCAAUGUUAUCCAAAUCAAAUGAAGUUGGAUAUUGUAAUGGGUCAAAUGAAUUAUAUCAAUUGUACUCAUAUCCCAAGGAUAUGUAUAUCAUUUUUACAGUUAAAAAUGUUGUUUCCAAUAGAGAUUUACCUAAAGAAUAGUUUUAUGCAUUGUAGAAGAAAGAUGAUUAAGAAAAAGAAGAAAACUACAGUAUGAAAUUUUGAACUAUUAAAGGUCAUUCAUAUUGAUAUUGGUGACCAAAUAUGGUAAAGUUUUAUAAAAAUAUUGACAACUAUUUUCUCUUGAUUAAAAAAUAAAUAAAUAUAUAAAAGGGGUCUGAAUCUUUGGUUUUAUUCAAAUUUUUUAGUAUUAAGGUUAAGGAACAGUUGAGAUGAGUCUUAAAAAUUAUCAACUAUGAUCGUGGUGGUGAGUGUUUUGACUAUGGCAAUACUGGAUAACUUAAAGGGCCAUUUGUCAAAAACUUAGAAAGAUUCUUGGAUGGUAACUUAGUUUACUAUAUCCGAAAAUCUUGGAAUAAAUUGGUGUGGCUGAAAGGUAUAAUUCCACCAUGAUGAAUAUGAUGGUGAGUAUGAUUACUUGGACUAAUUUAUCAGGUUUUCUAUGGAGCAAAACAGCCUAAUAUGCAUUAAACCGUAUAACUACCAAAUGUAUUCCAUUGACUCUUUUGUAAGUUUUGGAUCAGACGUAAACUUGACUCAAAUCAUCUUAAGGUUUGGAGCGUCCUGCAAAAGUUUGGUUAUAUAAUCUAACAUUAAAUAAGUUGGAAUCCAGAACCACUCGAUAUCAUACCCAUAUCAUUUGAAGGGAUAUCAAGUUUUAUCAUCCCAAUAAAGGUAUAAGAAUUAUAGAAUCAUAAACAGUAAAGUAUCUAGAGUUCGACGAAAAUGUAGAGGAUAGUUACUCUUAGACUAUUAAAGAUAAUGGUAUGGUGGUAACCAUUGUGUCUUUGGUUUUGUCUUUCCCUAUACAAAUAAUUGUAGAGCCUUUUACUCUAUAUAUUAAGCUCGUGAGGUUCAGGAUGUUGUUAUUGAUAUGAUUCCUGAUGAAGUUUUUCAAGCCUCUCAAGUGCUAGAUAGAAUGAUAGUAGCUCCACUCAAGAGAUCUGUUACCGAAAGAUGUUCAGUUAUAUCAUCAUACUAUAUAGUCUAUUUGUAAGAGCAUAAUUACGAUAUCUACUAUGUAAUUGAACUACUGACUUGUAUGUGCAACUAUUAUUUCUUGUCCUCAGUCUGAUCUGUGGUUAGACAUAAUAAAAAGAUGAGAUGCAAUUUAUAAAAUGUGAUAGUGUUUGGGAGUUUAUUGAAUUGGUUGAAAGUCACAAGCUCAUCCACUGCAAAUGGGUGUAUGAAACUAAAAGAAAUUUCAAGGGAAACAUUGAGAAUUUUAAAUUCAAAUUACUAAUAUAAAGUUUUCACUCAGAGAUAAGUUUAGUUUUUUCUAAAGACUAUUUCAUAGUGAAUAUGGUAUUACUGGCUCAUUUUUAUGAAAUUACAUUAGAUAGAUAAUUCUAAUUAUGUUUCUCAAUGAAUACCUUAAUAAAGAAGUCUAUGUGGUAUAACCCAAAGGUUUUACAGCGGAUGAUUCAGGUAAACUUGUGUGUAAACUGAAAGCCCUUAUGCAUGGCCUUAAGAGAAUCUAUAGAUCAGACGAUGCUUGGAGUUUUAUAAUGUUAUCACUUCAUUCAGUUUUGCUGAGAAUAGAGUACAUCAAUGUAUAUACUGCAAGAUUGGUGGGAGAAAAUUUAGUUUUCUCAAAUUCCAUGUAAGUAAUAACUUGUUUGUGAUAAUAAUAUUGGACUACUGCAUAAGAUAAUAUAAAUAUUGUCGAAAAAUUUUGACUUGAAAAACCCUGGUUAAGUACCUUUUGUCCUUGGCAUUGAAAUCUAUAGAGAUCGUUUUUGGCAUAUGUUAGAUUUAUUUUAGAUUGCAUAUGUUGAUUAUAUUUUGAACAUAUUCAAUAAGCCAGGAGUUAUUGUUGUUGUUAAGGCUGACAAAUUGAAUAUUUGACAUUGUCCUUGUUCAAAUUUUGGGAAAAUCCAAAUGAAUGAUACACUUUAUGCCAGUACACUUAGAAGUGUCAUACAUGUUUAAAUCUGCACUAGACUACAUAUUGCUUUUGUGGCGAGAUUUUUAGAUAGAUAUCGGUCAAGUCUAGGACAUGAUCACUGGAUUGCUGCCUAUGAGGUUUUGAGAUUCUGAAAAGGACAAGAAAACUAUAUACUGACAAAUCUGUUCAGGAUCCAAAGCUAGUAUGAUAUUCGAAUGCAAAUUUUACUAGUUAUAAGGAUAACAAGAAUUUGAUAACAUAAUAUAUCUUUGUAUUAGCAAAAGGUGCAGUGUUAUGACAAAGUGAUAAACAGAAAUUUAUGUUAUCCUCUAUCGUAUAAACGGAGUUUAUAGCAUGCCUUUUAGGUGCUACUCAAGAUAUUUGACUUUGGAACCUCAUUAAAGAGUUGACUAUAUUUGAUAUUAUGAAUAGACCCAUACAGAUGUAUCGAGACAAUAACUUUUUAGUGUUGUCUGUCAACAACAAUAAGAGUCUCAAGAGGUCUAGAUUUAUGACCGUCAGGUUUAUGACCAUAAAGAAAUAAUACAGAAUGGUGGCACUACAGUAGAGCAUAUUUCCACAGAUGAUGUGGUUCUAGACCCACUAAUUAAUGUUUUUUGCCCUUGUGUACUUGAACAACAUGUCGUGACAUGGGCUAAGGAGCAUCAUUGGAUGCUGUUAUUUAGUGGGAGCUGUUUUUUAUUUUGCUCUAAUAAAGAUUAUAUAUAUUGCACAUUCAAUAAAGUGUUCAUGAAUGUGUGGUCACCAUAUUGAAUUGAUUAUAUGUAAUGAAAAUCUCAAGAUAUUGUGUAAACCUUGAGUGAAGGCUGGGGGCAUCUGGUUAUCAGCCUUGAACAUAUGUCUUGAUUACAUAUAAAGAAAUGUUAACCAUAAAGAUAAGACAUGUGGGUUCAUUAGAACCAUAAGGAUAUUCUCUAAUGGCACAUCCGGUUUUCUGUGACACUUAAGGUAAGAGAAUAGGGACCAACAAGGGAGAUAACACAUAAGGUAAAACUCUUUAUGAGGUGUUAUCCGUUUGCCACACAACUAUAUUGAAUCCAUAUCAAUAAAAUUGAAAACAUUUGUGACCAUGGAAGACUCUAUGAAUACGUGUAGUUACCAUCAUGAUUCGGUGUUUGAGAUUUUAUGAGAUAAGAUUAACUAUUAAGAAUUACCACUAAACAAACAUAAAGGUACGUACAUAAAGUACAAUCUCAAUUAAUGUAGCCCAAGUGGGAGAAUGUAUGGGUUUUCUUUAUAUGGGCUACAUUAAUUGAGAUUGUAAUUACCAUUUUACGGCGUUAGUCUAAUAAGGUAAGGCAUAAAGUUUUCUUAAUAGUUAAAUAUGGGUCUAGCAUUGUGUGGGCCGAGUUGGGCCCGGCCCGUGAUGAGAUGGCCCAUCCAAAACUCUAUAAAUAGCGCUAAGAUCCCUCCUCUAGCCCUAACUCUUCUAAAAUUCUCUCUCAACUCACCUAAGGCAAGCUGUGAGUGGCGGUCUCAUUGAGCCAAGAAUCGAGGGUAAUAGAGGAGAAGAUCUUCGGCGUUAAAAGCUCGGAUUGUUGUUGGAUCAUCGUCAUUCCACAUAAAGAAAAAUGGAUUCCAAAUAAGGUACACAAAUCUUUGUAUUCUCCUCCUACAUGUUCGGUUUUCUAGGUACGCCGAUCCUGGAAAGCCGCUUCAACAGCCAACAAGGGCUUGGCCGGUAGCCUAAGGUUUGGUUGAGGUCCCCUGGUUCGGUGAAGAUGAAUUUGCAGGCAGUGGAGGACAUUCUCGGUCCGCGAAGAAGGAUGAAGGUGCAAGAGAGGAAGACAAAAUAGGGAAGAAGACAAAAGGAAUAAAAAGAAUUUAAAAAAGGAAAAUCAAUAAAAAUUCCAAAAAUCUAAAAACACAUUAAAAAAAUCCUUUUAUAAUCCAAAGCAGGUCGGAUCCGGAUAGACGGGUUGGGACAAUGGGUCGAAUCAAGUAAACUCGGUCUGAACCUGUCGUCUAAAUAUAAUAAUAAUAAAAAAAAUUUAAAAAAUUUAAAAAUUGUAAAAAUCAAUAUAAAUUUAAAAAACAAUGAAAAUAUUAAAAAAUUCGGAAAAUUUAAAAAAAAUUAAAAACUCAGAAAAUCCCAAAAAAUUAAUAAAAUAUUUUAAAAUUAGUGAAAAUAUAUAGAUAAGACAAAUCAUUAAAAAAUCAGAAAAAUUAUAAAAAAUCAUUAUAUAAAUUUAAAAAUCAUUAUAUAAAUUUACUUAAUUAGAAAAUUAAAAUUUGAUAAAAUUUAGAAAAUUCAGAUAAAUCAUAAAAAUCAUAAAAAAAAAUUUAAAAAAUUCUAAAAAGCUAGAAUAUUAAUAAAAUAUUAGAAAAUUCAAAAAAUCGUAAAAAAAAUUUCGAAAAAUUCAAAAAAAAUCAUUAGAAAUAUUUAAAAUAUUUAAAAAUUCUUAAAAUUCAUAAAAACUCACAAAAAAAUUCCAGAAAAAUAUGAAAACUAUGAAAAUGGGAAAAUUGUUUAAUUGAAAAAGGACUUUAUAAUAGGGUUCUUUGUUUUGAAUUGUUUUUUCUUUUUUAGAGACCAUUUAGGAUAUUUAUGUGUUUUCUUUGCGAUUAUACUUGGUAGUGCUUCUUUAAUACCUUGGAUGUUAUUUUCUUUGUUUUAAAAUGGUUGGAUGAAACCUAGAAUCCUCUAAUAGAUUACCAUGGCGUUAGUUAGCAUUCAAUCUAGUUAGGCACUAGAAGGACAUCGGUUUUAAGAUUAGUGUAAUCAAGUUCUCGAAUCUAUAAUCUCUAGUUGCAUAAAUAGUAAGAUAUCCUCCCCUCUCUUAUUAGAUUUCUAGCCAACCACAAAAGAUUAGAGGAUUAAUUGAUCGAAAAAAGAACAUCCAGUGUCACAUGAGAUAUGGAUUUGGGAGAAUCCAUGUUUAUGAUCAAUGAAUCAUUUGCAGUGUUAACAAUUGAAUGGUCCAUUCGUGAUCAUCAUUUGUAUGGACCAUUCGAUUCAUCUCAUGAGCAAGUAUCUUAAACCUAAUUUCACCCUCAUUGGAAGAGGUUAGUUGCGACAGCUUGAAUUACAAAUUGAGCACAAAAUCGUGAAAUUUACACUAUGAAUUUUUUUUGUAGUUCAAACAAUUCGGGACAAUACUUUUCAACAACAUAAGAUCGCCUUAGAUAUGCUCCUUGGAUUGUCUAAUUCUUGUAUUUUUGUCUCGAACUUCACAGUUACCAAAUUCUUUGAGUAAGAACUUUUCUAUUAAGAUGAACGUAUUAGAAUACCAAUUUGGAAGAGAUGAUAGAAGCAGGAGUUCAUUUUGGUAAUUUUAUUUUCACAUGUGCAUUAGAUCUGUUCCGUGAAAAACAUCAAAAACUGUGGUUUUUCAAACUUUUAUCUACGUUUCUAGUCAAUUGAUUAUAGAUUCUAUGUUUAUUUGAUAAUCACCUUCAAAACUACAAGUAAGAAAGAGGGAUCAUGACCGAUAGUGGCUUCUCUUUUUCCGAUGUUUUUCUUUUUUAACUCUAGCGUAUGGUUUUUCUCUAUGAAUACUUUAUUUUUUCAAAAGUUUGGUCUAUAAUGGAAAGUUUCAUAAAUGGGCUCUCAGCUCGCGGUAUACUUCUCUGAAACCCAUAUCUUCUUCCCAAAAAAGUUCAAUAACCAAUUGAUGGGCCUCUCUUGCAGCCAGGCCCCCCUUAAGCCCAGAUCCAUUCGCCAAGCAUAGAAACGACAAUGAAAAGGAAUUGGCAAAGCGUGGCCGACCAACGGGCAUAAUUAGGAAUCGAAAUCAAAAAUUGGAUAUAUCUCUUUCUCUCUCUCUCCCUCCCUUUUUUAUGAUCCUACUCAAGUGCGUAUGGUUAGUAUUUUGAAAAGCCCUUUAGGAAAAUACAAAGCAAUUCAACCUAAAGGACUUUGGGUAAAUGCAAAGACUGUUUGAUAAAUUACGCUUCAAGAAACAAUUUUGAGAGAAAUGUUAUUUGAUAGAAAACAUAUUUGAAGAGCCUUUGGGUGAUUCAUAUUAUUUUUUUUUUAACUUUUAUUUGUACUCAACUUUUUAAACAUAAAAUUUGAUAAUAAUGCUAAAAAAAAAAUCAAAUACGUAUAAUUAAAAAAAAAUUACCAAAGCUUUUGUCGAAUGAUCGUCAGUGAGCUGGAUUUGGCGACAGUGGCUACCGAAGGUCCCUUGACCUCAAGCGACCCUCGGCAAGGGUCAUGCGACCAGGCCACGCGUAACUUAGGUGACCACUUCUUAGGUCUUGCGAGGGUCACUCAACUGACGGCCUGGGUCGCGUGCCACUUGAGGUCAUGCAACCUCCAUGCGACCCUCGCCAAGGUCAUGCAAUGGGUGACCUUGACCAACGGCAACCGUGGCUAGAUCUAGCUUGUUGACGGCCAUAGUCCUCCAUUGAUUCAGCAAAAGGUUUGGUCCUUUUUAAAUAUAAAAAAAAUAACGUGGGACAAAAUCAAAAUUUUCAAGAAUUCUUGAGAGUAAUUUUGAAAGAACAAAUGAGUUUCAAUAUUUAGUCAAAUACUAAAAGCCCAAUGCCAAUGGGUUUUCAACCUUUUCAAUAUUGGCUUUCACUUAAAAGCUCCUUAAAAAUAAUAGCCAAAUGAUCCAAUAUAAAAGCUCCUUAAGAAUGCUAAACCAAACACACUUUCUGAAGAAAGGAUAUUCCAAAGAGGCCUCAGUGGGUCUUUGUGAUCUCCCGAGGAAGAGAAUUUUCCGGCCUUUCAACCUAGUUUGAAUUAGUGGACUUUGGAUUGGCCAGUAGCAUCUUGCAAUCAUUCACAACAUGAUAUAGGGCCCACGGGCUUUCUACUUUUUUAGCUUGGCAACUCUGCCACAAAUCUACUUUCAAUCUUUAUGGGCGUGUUUGGCAACCGGCCAAAUAGUGUUUGAUUUUGUUCUUUUGUUUCCAAGAGUAGAUUUGUAAUAGAAAAUUGUUUGGUCAACUUUUUGUUUUCAAGAAUAAAUUUGUUCUCAGGAAUAUAUUUGGAGUGGAAUUGAGAAAUAAAUAAAUAAAUAAAUAUAUAUAUAUAUUCUUUAUUUCCAGGAACAAUUCUAGAAUCAGUCAACCAAGAUUUUUUCUUUUCUUUUCUCUUUUUAUUUCCUUCUUGUUUUUCUUCCUUUUCUCUUCUUCUUUCACUGCCACAACCAUCGGCCGCUGCCGCCACCGCUAUCCACCACCGUCGGCUAUUGAAGCUCACCCAGCCAUCGAUGAGGCUUGGCCUCGCUCAAGCCUCCCUCAACCAUCGGCGAGCCUUGCUUGGCCAGGUGAGACUCGACCGAGCCCUAGCUAGGCUAGGCUGGGCCAAGCUCGACCUCGCCCAAAUAUGGCAAGGCCAAGCUCACCCAGCCACCGGCGGGGCUCGACCUCGCCGACCACCACAAGGUCUAGACUUCUCUUCUUUCUUCUUCAAAGUCACGAUCAAUCUUAGGUUGAAAUCGGAAAAUGUCCUUUUUCGCAUCCGAAAGCCUUGGUUCAAAUCCAGCUCGUGACAAAGGGAGAAAUCAAAGUCUAAAACGAGAGCCUAGCCCCGAAGCAAGGGAUUAAGGAAAUCGAGUAGGAGUAGGCAAACUACGAGCUGCUAGGGAAAGCUUUGGAAUGUGGCUGAGAAAUGAGAAUAAGUUCCACAGCUCAAGCUAAUAAUAGACUCAGGAGGUGCUGGGCUAUCGAAGAGAGUAGACCAAGAUUUGACACUCGCUCGGCCCAUUAUGGUUGCAAGAGCAUGCAUUUCUCCCUCGAUGGAUUGGGGCUUUCUAAGUUGGCACUGCGCUCAUCGGUUGCUUGUUUUGCUUGCUUUACCUGAACAACGAGGUGAAAGACUGCCUUUUCUCUAUUCUAUUUCACAGGCUCGAUGAGAUCAGUAAUACUCUUUUUUAAUAAGUAAAUAAGAUGAGCAGAUAGAUUAUGUAAUUGGGGAUAUCUGCAAGUAUAUCUGCAAGUCAAAUCCAAUCCUUGGAAUGUAGAUUCAAAGGGUCGGGUCCGCAUUAGUUUAAGGUGCUUGUGCUCCUUGGCCUUUGAGUUGGACUUGACUUUAACACUUCCAUGAAGGAGGUUUGUGGAGAAGUUGUUUUUUUGUAGCUGCAGCCUCGCCAAGGUCAACGAGGCCGACCUUGCGGUGGCCCGGCAAGGUUGAGCCCUAUCGGCAGCUAGGUGAAAUCGAGGCUUAGCCGACAAGGCGGGGCCUCACCAAGGGCCGGCAACCCUUCGACGAGGUUGCCGACCCUCGCCUAGUCAAUUGCUGGUCAUCCCAAGGCCGGUGAUUGGCUGAAGAAGAAGAUAAAAGAAAAUAAAAUAAAAUAAAAUAAGAAAAAAAUAAAUUAUUUUAAAAAUAGAAGAAAAUAGUUUGGAUUACAAAUUUUGAGGAUGAUGUCAAACACAAUUAUAUUUUGGAAAUAAAAGUUUUGAGUAGUUACCAAACAUUUUUAUACGCUUAGAAUUUAUUUUUGGAAAGAAAAUAAAAAAAAUAUUUUCAAUAAGAAAUUAUUCUUUAAGAACAGAAUAGUUAUUUAUCUCUACAAACCACCGCCUGCGGUGGUCCAGUUGGAUAAGGCUCCCAUGACCCUUUGCGUAGAGGGGAAGAGUUCGAAUCCCGCUGGCCGCACGGGAUCUUAAGCGUGACGUCGGGGUGGUGGGUCCUCCGCUAGCGUCACCCCGGGUUUGCCCUACCGGUUGCCGGCUGUACGGGGGUUCCCGGGUCACCAAAAAAAAAAAACAGUUGAUCCACUUUCUCCUUCUUCAAAUACAGAAGAGCUCGGAAGAUGGCUAGGGUUUCGGUGGUCAACGCCGAAGCGAGUUGAAACGUUCAGGAAGAUGGACAGAGAUGAUGGACGCGAUGCGAUUAGCAAUCUGCCGGACUCGAUGCUCUUCCAUAUUAUGUCCUUCCUGCCCACGAGAGACGCCGUCAGGACUCAGGACAGUGAUGGUGCCGGGGUUCCGCCAUCUCUGGACUUCUACCCACCACUUGUCUUUCUAUCACUAUCCUUACCACGACUGCAAAAAGUUGGAGACUGCUUUUGAAGCGGACGACAAAUUCCCGAAUUUUAGCAAUCACGUGUUGACUCUGCACGAGAGCCCCACCAUCGAUUCGUUCCGUCUUAAUUUAAACUGUGCAUCUAAGGCGCACCCCUUUGAUCCUAAAUAUGAGGACUCUGCAACUCGAGAGAGGAGAAGAACGUGGAACAAACUGGAUACGUGGAUUCGUUUUGCAGCAAGGAGAAAAGUUAAGUUCCUCGAUUUGGACUUCUUACGGUGUGCUUGGGAGUUCCGACAUUGUCUUUACUUCCCACUUAAUCUUUACGUGCUGCCCAGCGUUGUCCUUAGGUGUAGCAAACUUAGUAGAGCUGAAGCUGGCUUCCUGUGUGGUCAGACCGGUGGCGGGACGGGUCCAACUGAGGUCGCUUAGAAAAUUGUCUAUGAAGGAUAUUCACUUAACUGACAGGAAGUUGGUUGACAUACUAUCCAGUAGCCCGUUGCUGAAAGAAUUGUCUAUUGAAGUUUGUCAUGGCCUCCAUGAGCCUAAAUUCUGUCGUGGCCCGUCCAUUCAAGUUUUAAAUUUAAAGGAAUGCGGCAGUCUUGAAAAGCUUGAUCUUACACGAUCAGAUAUCAAACAUUUAACCAUUUGAUCAGUAUGGGGAUCUGGAGCUAGUUUGUCCUAAUGUGAGGAUUUUGGAUAUUGCUAUGUGUCUAAAUUAUGUCAAGGCGACUAAUAUGUCAUCAGUGGUUGAUACGUCCCUCAGCUUCAGUGAUUAUUUUAUAUAUCCUUACGGAAAAUAUUGUGAGUUUAGACUGCUUCUGGAAAAGCUCAGCCGCAGUCCUUAUUUUAUGCUACGCAAUUUGUGCAUACUGGCAUGGUUUCUGUGCUUUUGCUCUGACCUAUUUUGUCUUGCUUUGAGGUACUUUUGAAUGAUUUAGGUUCCGAUCCUUCAGGUGAGGAGUAUAACUAUUUUUUGAUUGGAUAUUCUCACAUUUCAACUGUUUUAAAAUUUGUAGAAUAGGAGUAGGGUGAACUGAUUUUGGAUGGGUCUUACUUGAAAUGGACAGUGGCUGCGCCGUUUCUCUGCUUUGGCUUCUUUGUUCUGUUGUUUUUUUAUGCUUCAGUUCAUCAGGUAAUGUCCUAGAUGAAGAGUAAAAGAAAAUAUUAUUUACUUAGGCUGGGUUCUUUUAUUUAUGCGCACCUAAACUUUUAUAAGGUGGCCUUCCUUGCAUCUGUUGGCCUUUGAACUUUGAGCAAUUGUAAACUAUCAUCCAUAACCUAUUCAUGUAACGGAAAACUACAGUUUGUUAGGAGUCUGUCUUCCUUGUGUCUUUGUUUGCUUUGUGGCAUUUUGUGGACGAUAUUGUUUUUACUUUUUACGUGACAUGUGUUACCAUUUUAAAUGUGCAUGUACAUGCUCUUGUGAUUUGCCUUUCUAAAUAUUCUACAAUAGCUAAUUAUAAAUUUCCUGACAUGACUCUGAAUUGAAUGGUAUCAUAUAAUUUCAUUUCAGUCAGUCCAUACAUACACAUGCUCUCGAGUGCCCACAAUGUUUGUCCGAUGGUAAUUUUCAUUUAAAGUUUGUCCAAGUAAUUCUUUUUAAACCAGGUAUUAACUAAAUGGGAACUGACAAAUCAGCCAUGCCCAUCUUUCGCUUGGAAGUAUGUGACACUUCAACUGCGUCUGAUUAAGUGGUACCUCCCCGGCAUCUCUAGCUUGUUGAGGAACUCUCAUUUUCUAGAGAGACUCGCUAUCUAUGUUUAUCCUGGAAGAGGUGAAGAUGAAUCCGAGGUAUAAAUGCUUGAACUGUAACAUUUUGUUGCCAUAUUAGAACAUGGAAUUAAUGGAGAUUGAAAUGUCACUUUAAUUUUCUAGCUUGCCAAAGCAGGGUGUAAGCUUGUAUUUGAGUUCAAUGGCUUUAGUUACUGGUGUUCAGUGGACAGCACAUUUCCUUAUCUGGAGGACCAGCUUAAGCAUGUUAAGAUAUAUGGUUAUGUACUGGAGCCUGAUGUCAUUGAGCUCAUUGAAUUUCUGCUCAAGAAUGCACAGAUCUUGGAGAAAAUGGAGAUUUCUACCAAGAAGACUCUGCAGCGAACUGGUAGCAAGUAAACGUUCUCCAGUGACAUUGGUCGUCCAUCAAAGGAUUAUUGUACAUCGGAUGCGCUGCUAGAGUUUUCACAGAAGUUGUUAAGUUUCCCAAGGGCCUCAACACGUGCAGUAAUUCACCUGGGUUAGAUACUGGUAUUGGAAUUGUGUUCACCCUUUCUUUUGGACAACCCUUGAUGUUUCUAUGCCAGGCAUGUCUCACAUUUGGUAGACUUUACAAAAGUAGUUGGCCUUUAUGAGGAAUUCGCCCCUUUGCCUCAGGUCUAUGAAUUCGCAACAUCCACGACUCUGUACAGGCAGCUUUAUGAAUAUUUUGAUGGUGGAUGUGCCGUUUUUUUUCGAAGUAUGUUUCUCUUGAUGGCUUUUCUUUUCAUAUUCCCAGCUCUUGCAAAUAGUUCGGCUAAAAUUUUUGCAGUAUAGAUUUACUUGAACAAUCUAUUGACACCAGUUACAAUCUGUUCAUGAGUAACCUUUGCUCUUGCGGAUGCUGUUUCUCUCUUGGUUUUUCAUUUCAGAGGCUGCCAUCUUUGUUCUUUCACUUUUCAGGUUUAGCUACCGAUUUCUUUAUCUUGAAAGGAAGUCAAUGCAGUUCAACAUUCUUAGUGAUUACUAUCAACAUCAAUAUCAGUACAAUCCGAAGCUACUUUAUACCAUAAAUAUUGAGUGUGCAGUCCUUCCAAGUUCAAAUCUUUUCUUGAUGUCUACCCUAAAAUCGUUAUUAUAUGUGCUCUUCUGGCAAAUUAACAAGAUCAUGAUGUCCCUUAUUUGACGUGUGAGUUCUUUUUCCUUUAUAGAUAACAUGAGUAUCCAACUUUGUAUCUUUACUUAAGGUAAUUAGGAGUCGACCCCUUAUACCCUUAUACUAUGAAUUGCAUCAAAUCAGUCCAACUAUGUAUUUACUUCAUCCCCUCCAGACACAGGCUUCCAAGGAGACUUUCCAUAGUAACAUGUCCAUCGAGCAUUGACCGGUGUACCACGCACUUCCUCCUCCACAAUUCCACAAUAAUAAGCGGUGCUCUAUUAUGAGAUUUUACAAAAUAAGCACUUCCACAUUGUUUUCUGGAAACCUAACAGGAACAACGUCAGAUUUGAUCAAAGUCAAACCAAAUGGGAUUUGAUUUCUGGACCAAAUAGAUAGUUUCAACUUGAUCAGGCCGUCUCCAUUCAGUUCAAAAUUUGAACAGAACUUUUCUCACUCGAUUUUAUUAAGUCGUAGUCCAGUUGCUUCUUUCACACUCCUCCACGUACUUUCCUUGAAUUCGUAUUCUUUGUAUUCUGGGAGCUCCAUUUUAAAGGCUUCGAUUGCUUCUAAGCAGAGCGACACCUCCCUGAGAUUUCCACCUCAUACAGGAAUCACGAGAUCCUCGCUAGUUGUGCUCAUCUUGGACCUCAUCGCACAUUUACAUAUGAAUUUCCAUUCAAUCCAUCGCAAGUGCUGGAGAUGAAAGAACGGCUUGCAUUCAAAUUUCAGCAUGCUGAAGCUGGCUGGAUGCAAGCACGUGACUUUGAUGGCGAAAACUAGUGCCUCGAGCAAUAGGCUUAAGCAAUGUAAAGAUACGGGGAUAUGUCAUUGAGCUCAUCUAGUUUCUACUUGAGAGUGCGCUGAUCUUGGAGAAGAUGUCAAAAACAGCAAUUUAUGUCUCUGCGUUUUUUUCCCAUGAGUUACUGGGUCACCCAGGUUACUGGGUGCUUUUUUACCUUUCUCGCUCCUCUUCGAUUUCCCACGCUUUUUUCCUCACGGAAAAGGAGGAGGUUGAGUUCUGAUUUUGGGUGGUUCCCGGCAGGCUUCGUCACUUGGCUUGUUUCUUGUCGCUCUCCAAGCGUGUGUAGAAUGUACUGCCUGGGUUCAAUCGUCCAACCCCGUUUCCAACAUAUUUCUGUUUAGCCCCUGAUUUCUCUAUCAGAUCCAUUUCUUGUUUGCUGCAGUGGUUCUGAUCACAUCAUAGUGUCCUGGAGUAGAUCAACUUUGGAGAUCAAUAAUGUUGUCGGGUAAAGAAGCAAUGCGGAAAGUUUGAAAGGGCCAUAAAGAUGGUAGAAAUGGUGUAAUCAGUAAUUUCCUGGACUUGGUCCUAGUCUACAUACGCAAAAAUUAUCUUUUGAUCAGUGUGCUUACCAAAAUUGGGUAGAGCAGACAGUGCACAAUGGUCUCGAGCGUGAUGGCAAGUUCUUAAAUUUCACCAGCCAUGUAUUGAGCCCUGCACGAGAGCCCGACAAUUGCUUGGAGAGUUGCCUGUUGGAAAAAUGCUAGGGUCUCCAGAAGCUCUAAUUCGAUUGGCACCCGUCAAUUGAAGAAUUGAACCUCGACAUGUGCAAGGGUUGAAGAAACCUGAUCUUGCUUGCUCAGCCACAAACAAAUUAACUGUUGUUGUUCAUACUAGCAGUCAUGUAAAAAGGAUAGUCUAUGCUUAAAUUAGGACUUUGCAGAUUUCUGGGUCGACGAAGUGUGUCAAGUUAACCAGUUACUAAUCUCUGAUUGAUGCAUCACUCUACUUCGGUUAUCACCUCAAAUGUUCUUGAAAGGCAUACUGCGGAGUCAGAGUGCUUCUCCACUAUUGCUCUAACCUCAUUUAUCUUGCUUUUGAGGUACUUUUGAAUAAUUGAGCCGACAAAGUCACAUAACCGGGGGUAUUGAGCUGACAUGUCGGUUAUGUGACUCCGUGAAUAGCAUAGGCCAGCCCAAUACCCUAAGCAUGGGAAGCUAUACUAUACAUGCCUACUUGAUAGUAGCCACAUUGAAAUAUAUGACGGCGAGUCUAUCUUCUCCCCCGGUGGCCCCCUUGUUGCUAGGUGAACAUUUUUCUUCCCCACCUAGCUGGGAAUAACCCCACAUUUUACGUCUCAGAGUUUAGACGAAAUAAUUUAAGGACGUGUUUAGUUCCCUAGUACUUUUAAAUGAUUCAACUGGGAGUCCUUGAGCAAGAAGUAAUACUCUCUAUUUGACUGAUUUUUCUCGGAUGAUUUUGAAACUGAGUUUAAUGUCCAAUCUAUUUUAGUCUCUUCAUUCUUAUUGUCCUGAGACUAUCGAUGAGGUAAUACGAAGAGGUAGUAAGGAAAAAAGCUAUUCACUCACACCAGCGUCUGUUUUACUCAUCCUGCCCUUAAACUUGUCUUUGCAUGCUUCCCCUCAUGUAACUCAGACAUUGUCGAGGUUUUUCGUGUGUCAGUUUUUGCAUUGUUAUGAACAUGUCAUCCUUUCACAAGCAAUUCAUAUUUUGUGGUCUCAUUCAUUGAUAUAUGCUGUCAUUUGCAACCAUUCAAGUGAGUAUGAGAUCGGCUCUCUUGAAUUAUUUUGUAAUGCUCCAAAUGCAUAGUUUAAUUAGGUGGCUUAAAUGUGUUGAAGAUAUGGAAGAAACCGUACAAUCUUGAUCUUCCUUCACUAACACGCUUUGCUACAUGUCCAUUGUUUUGUUCCAGUGGUGUAAUAUCCGCCAUGUCUCUUCCCUCUAUAUUGACCAAAAUCAGACACACAAAAGGUUGAAUUCAAGUUGAUGCUUUUGACUGAUAAAAAUAAUAAUGAUGAUGUUGUCGAAGUCGGUUUAUGUUUUCACAGUCGCAAUUAAGUUGAAGUGUCCGACUUCCUUUCCUAUGAAUCUAAACAAUUCUUUCUUCUAUCAAGUAUUCUUUUAUGCGAAUUGACACGACAGCCAUGCCCAUUAUUUGCACGAAAUCUUUCGAGGCUUGAACUAAGUCAAAUAAAGUGGCACCACCCUGGGAACUAAGCAUAUUGAAGAGUUUCCAUAUUCUUGAGAAACUCACUCUGUACGUUUAUACCAAAAUACAUAAAUCCUUUAGAACAAGUUUAUUUUUUAGUUUUACUUCUCGCUCGGUUGUUUACAUUUGUUUCACACUUCCGCUGUCUCACAUAACAUUAGCUUUUAAAGUGGAUUUUUUUUUUUAGGAAAAAUUAUAUAUAUAUAUAAAUUUAAUCAAACGGCACAUUAUUUUAUACGAACAGAAACUCAAAUAGAAAAAUACAAUGGUUCUUGCCUUUUAUCAAUCGCGACAUCACUUUCAGCGCCCACCCUGAUAAGGAAAGCAACGGGACCAGUGAAAUUUUCAUUGGCUGAGUGAAGGGGCACCAUAUGCAACCCAUGUGAAGACAAAGAAAACUCAGUCGAUCCCACCUUCCAUUUUUUUAUUAUUUUAACCAAAACCCAUUCGCUCGAAGCGAUCCGUCGCCCACAGUUGCGGAGGAAAUCAGCGGUGCCGCCUCGACACUGGGCCUGCACAGGCCGAGCAGCUGAACCUCAAACCCAUCAAAUCCCAGCCCAAGUUUUCCGUCCGACCAACACAUGUCCCCUGCUUCGAUCGAUACUAACACCUGGCUUAAAUCCAUUUCUUGAGGGAGAAAAUAUAACUCUCUCUCUCUCUCUCUCUUUCUAGUUUUCUGGAGUCUGCCUUCUGUCUCACUCACUCUGUUUUACUCUUGAAAAAGUGGGGUUCCUUUUGUCCCCACGUGGAAUUAGCCGCCUGUUGGAUGAAAGACCAUGUUCAUCAUGGUCCACGGUUUUUGUCUCUUGUAAGAAACCAUCUUUUUAAAUCAGGUUUGUCCAUCAAAGAUCGGAAAUCUCUCAACGCCUUCUAUGUGUGAACCUCGUCCGUUUCCGAAAGUCCUCUUCAUGAUCCUUCUUUUCUCUUCCGAUACCUCGGUCCAAUAAUUAUAGCAACUCUUCCUCUUAUCCACACUACUAUCAUUUUUGUCCAUUGUUUGUCAUCGCUCCCUCCUCAGAUCAACCUUUUUUUUCUCUCUCCAUAUUUGUAUAAGUUUCUGGUAGAUCCCCAUCUGCUUAACAAAAGCGAUUCUCAAUCCGCAUAAGUGGACUUGGGAUCAGUUCAGUUGUCUGGACUUCAGAUUCGUUUUGAUUUUGUACAGUUAAAGCAGAACAGAGGAAUCAUACACCAUUUGUGAAUCUUUUUUUUUUUUAAUUUGCUUCAAGAGAUGAGCUUGAGAGCAACAGAGGAAGGUUCAGCUCCAAAGAUUCAAAUCCCAGCAGAUGUGGAUUGGCAUAUGCUUGACAAAUCAAGAUUCUUCUUCCUUGGAGCAGGUCUCUUCUCAGGUGUGUCGGCUGCUCUCUACCCAGUUGUGGUGCUCAAGACGAGGCAACAAGUCUCACACGCACAGGUCUCUUGCUUCAAGAUUUCGUUCUCCAUCAUGAGGCAUGAAGGCCUGAGAGGAUUUUACAGAGGGUUUGGGACGUCCCUGCUGGGCACAAUCCCAGCAAGAGCCCUCUACAUGACUGCCCUUGAGGUCACCAAAAGCAGUGUUGGGUCAGCCACUGUGAAGCUAGGGCUCUCAGAGACCAGUGCCUUGGCCAUUGCCAAUGCCGCGGCAGGGGUAAGCUCAGCCAUGGCUGCUCAGCUCGUGUGGACCCCAGUCGAUGUGGUGAGCCAGAGAUUAAUGGUCCAAGGCCAAAAAAAUGGCUUCGCUAGCAAAAGGAGCUUAAUUGGUCAAGGGGGUAUUGGUUCUUGUAGGUACAAAAAUAGUCUUGAUGCAUUCAAGAAAAUACUAUGUGCUGAUGGUCUGAGAGGCCUAUACAGAGGGUUUGGGAUUUCAAUUUUGACAUAUGCACCUUCAAAUUCAGUUUGGUGGGCUUCUUAUUCUGUGGCCAAUUGGCUCAUUAGAGGUGGUUUUGUGGGCAAAAGUGGUGAAAGAAGCCGAAAAGACGGCUCUUCUUAUGGCCACUAAAUUUAGAGCGAUGACCACUAAAAUUGAAAUUGAAGGAAAUCGAAAGGAAAGCUCUGGAAUUAGAGCGAUGACCACUAAAAUUAAAAUGAAGUGCAAACACAGAAAAAGAANNNNNNNNNNNNNNNNNNNNNNNNNNNNNNNNNNNNNNNNNNNNNNNNNNNNNNNNNNNNNNNNNNNNNNNNNNNNNNNNNNNNNNNNNNNNNNNNNNNNNNNNNNNNNNNNNNNNNNNNNNNNNNNNNNNNNNNNNNNNNNNNNNNNNNNNNNNNNNNNNNNNNNNNNNNNNNNNNNNNNNNNNNNNNNNNNNNNNNNNNNNNNNNNNNNNNNNNNNNNNNNNNNNNNNNNNNNNNNNNNNNNNNNNNNNNNNNNNNNNNNNNNNNNNNNNNNNNNNNNNNNNNNNNNNNNNNNNNNNNNNNNNNNNNNNNNNNNNNNNNNNNNNNNNNNNNNNNNNNNNNNNNNNNNNNNNNNNNNNNNNNNNNNNNNNNNNNNNNNNNNNNNNNNNCAUAGUAAAGAUAAUCCCAUAAAAUUUGGAAAAGAUAAUAAUUUCUGUGGACCAUAAAGUCAUUGUUGUCACACACCUUCUAAAUACUAUUUACAUAUCUAUCCUCCUCAUCUGCAUAGUGUCUUGUUGUUACCCUCUAGUGAUGCCAAUCCCUUGUUAAAGCCAUGAUGAUCACCACCAUCAUCUAUAACCGUGUAAGGAUGAGCAUGAUUCCAGAGUCAGAUAGAAAUCAGAGAAUCAAAUUUGUGAGAAACGAUCCGAUUCUAAGUUUUAGAGCGAGAGAGUUCAAUAUUCGGUUUCACUUUUUUAAGAACCGCCAGUUCCCGAUCCAGUUUGAUUUUAUAGAAACCGAACUGAGAACUUGAACCGGGAAGGGAACCGGACCGGAAACCCUGAAUCCCUGAUUAUAUAAUUAUACUCCCGUUCCCCAACUCAAUUCCAUUUCUCUCCACUUUCGCCUGUCUCUGCUUGUACGACGUUGAGCCCUUGUGCGACGCUGCAUCUCAUCUAUCACGCUGCUUCUCCGACUCACUUAGGGUCUGCAUGGUAACCUUCCCCAGCCCAAAAAUUUCUAUUCUUCUCUUCCCCAGAACAAAAAAAGAAUAGAAACCUGUUUGAUAACGGCAAGUUAGUUUUUUGUUCCCGGGAACAAAAAGUUAGCCCGGGAAUGGUUUUGGAAUAGAAAUAAGAAGUAAAAAAAAGUUGCUUCUUGUUCCCGGGAACAAGUUUAAGAAAUAAGUGAAUUUUAUUUUUCUUUUAUUCUUCUCUUGCUAACCGCCAUUGACCGCCGUUGACCACCACCCGCCGUCGUCCACCGCCGCCGGCUGACCGCAGCCGCUGCCGCCGGCCGACCGUCGGAGGCCGAUCGACCGUCGCCGCCGCCGGUCGCCGCCGGUCACUGCCGGAUGCCGCCGACGCUGNNNNNNNNNNNNNNNNNNNNNNNNNNNNNNNNNNNNNNNNNNNNNNNNNNNNNNNNNNNNNNNNNNNNNNNNNNNNNNNNNNNNNNNNNNNNNNNNNNNNNNNNNNNNNNNNNNNNNNNNNNNNNNNNNNNNNNNNNNNNNNNNNNNNNNNNNNNNNNNNNNNNNNNNNNNNNNNNNNNNNNNNNNNNNNNNNNNNNNNNNNNNNNNNNNNNNNNNNNNNNNNNNNNNNNNNNNNNNNNNNNNNNNNNNNNNNNNNNNNNNNNNNNNNNNNNNNNNNNNNNNNNNNNNNNNNNNNNNNNNNNNNNNNNNNNNNNNNNNNNNNNNNNNNNNNNNNNNNNNNNNNNNNNNNNNNNNNNNNNNNNNNNNNNNNNNNNNNNNNNNNNNNNNNNNNNNNNNNNNNNNNNNNNNNNNNNNNNNNNNNNNNNNNNNNNNNNNNNNNNNNNNNNNNNNNNNNNNNNNNNNNNNNNNNNNNNNNNNNNNNNNNNNNNNNNNNNNNNNNNNNNNNNNNNNNNNNNNNNNNNNNNNNNNNNNNNNNNNNNNNNNNNNNNNNNNNNNNNNNNNNNNNNNNNNNNNNNNNNNNNNNNNNNNNNNNNNNNNNNNNNNNNNNNNNNNNGAACGCUGCCCGGGCCGCCCGCCCCGUUCGCCGGAAGCCCGACCCAACCCGUUCGCCACCCCCCGGGUCGCCGCCGCCGCCACCGCCGGGUUGUCGAAUGAACCGUUCGCCGCCCGGUCACCGCCGGAACGCCGCCCGGUCAACCGCUGGAACGACGCCCGGACGCCGCCGGCGGCCCGGAGGCCAAACCCAACCGUCGCCGCCCGGCCAAACCGUUUGCCCACGGCCCACCGCCGGUCGGUCGGAAGGCUGACCGACCGCUGCCGCCGCCGCCGGUCGACCCGCGAUCGCCCCCCGGACGCCCGCCGCCAACCGCACGUCGCCGCCGGCCGACUCCCGCCGCCCGAUCGCCGCCGCACGGCCCAAAUCGGCUGCCGUUGACCGCCGGCCGGCCGAUCAACGUCGCCGCCGCCGGUCACCGCCGGUCACUGCCGGACGCUGCCGGACGCUGCCGGUCGCCGCCGGUCACCGGAGGCCGACCGACCGUCGCCACCGCCGAUCGCUGCUGCCACCGCCGGUCGCCAACUGACCGUCGCCGCCGGUCACCGCCGGACGCCGCCGGUCACCGACCGACCGUCGCCGCCGGUCACCGCCGGACGCCGCCGGUCACCGACCGACCGUCGCCGCCGGUCGCCGCCGGUCACCGCCGGACGACGCCGGACGCCGCCGGCUGCCGGAGGCCAACCGACCGUCACUGCCGGCCAACCGUUGCCGCGGCCACCGCCGGUCGCCGGAGGCCGACCGACCGUCGCCGCUGGCCAACCAUUGCCGCGGCCACCGCUGGUCACCGGAGGCCGACCGACCGCUGCCGCGGCGGCGGCGGCGUCCGGCGGUGGCCACGGUAUACCGGAAAAAAUAAAACACAAAUAAAUAUAAAAAAUAAACUGUUUUUUACCAAACGCAUUUCUAUUCUUUUUCUAUUUCUAGAGUAAAAAUUUUGUGUAGUUAUCAAAUGGGUUUUCUUACAUAGAAAUUGUUCCCCAUAAUAGAAAUAGAAAAUAACUAUUUCUAAAAAAAAAUUGUUCCCCAGCCAAGAAAUGUUCUCAUGCGGACCCUUAGUUUCCACUUCUCCAUCGUUGCUGUCGCGCUAAGCCCUUCGUUUUGCUGUCACCACGGCCAGCCGCUGCAAAGAUCCGAGGAGUUCAGUGAAGUCACAGUGAGUCUCAACUCACACUCCAACUCACCGAGUCGCAGUGAGCGAGCGACCAAGUGGGACUGGAAAUUUAAGCCCUUCUCCAUCUUCUCCUUUUGUUUCUUUUAUUCCCCACGCUUUCUUGUCUCUUUUAAGAUCGACCUCGACCUCCAUUAAUUCCUCUCCCUUCUGAGACCAAAACCACGAAAAUUGCGUUACCUGCGCCCCUCUCUCUCUCUCUCUCUCUCUCUCUCUCUCUCACUACAGCAACCAUCAUCCAGCAGGUAAGCUUGUUGCUGGAUCUGCUCGAUGUCGUGCUUAAUUCGAUUGCUGAAUCUGCGUGUGCGUACAAUUACGCAUGUUUUUUUUUUUUUUUGGGUCGAAUCGGCUCGAGGCUGGUUGUGUAUGUCGCUGGCGUUUGUUGCUGCUGAUUUUGCAUUUCGAUUGGUUCUGAGUGCUCGGGAUCAAGGCCUGAGCUGAUAAGCUUGGAGUUAGUUCGAUUGUUGCCUUCUUUAGCUCGCUGCUUGGCUACGAUUGGUCUAGGGCUUUCGUUAGUAGCUCAAUCGGAUAUGUUGCUUUGUUAAGAUGAUUGACUGCACGAUCGUUGGUACUUGGAUAUUUUUGAAUUCAUGAUGGAUGACCAAUGUUGAGCUCGAAUGAGUACUUCCUUAAAGGGUGCUAUCUGGUGAUUUUAAGCAACUGAUUUGUAGAACCUUGGGGUAUGGUCGAUGAGAUUAUCUGCUCAACAUCUAGUGAUCUUGAGCAACUGACUAUUCGAGUGAAGCUCCCUGAUUUGGGCAAUAGCUGAGAUAAAAGGUGGAAGGAUCUCGGUCUUUUGCCCGUCUUGCAUUACUGAGUAGAUUUCCUCAAUGAGUUUACAUUUUCCCUUUCCCUUCUGAUUGUUGUUUGGCUGGUUUUGUGGGCUGGAUUCACCUCUGUCCCAAGGCACAAUUUGUCCCGAUUGCACUGGAGUUUGUGGGAUGAAAUCAUUUUCAUGCUAUAGUUGAAGUAUUAGAUGCAAGAAAAUGCUACCUUGGCUUGAAAUUUCAUUUGCUAUUUUGUAAAUGUUUGAUCUUUAUUUUGAAAUUUCUAAUGAUGUUGUGCAUAUAUGAAGUCGACAUAUCAAGAUAACAUUCCUAGUAUCCCAAGUAUCUUUGUUGUUCAGGACGUCCAUACUAUUGUCACUGGAUUAGGAUUGACUUGAUGGAUGCUUGUUGAAAGGUGCCCCAAAAGCUUUUUAAUUCUUCUGCAGGCUUACUUCUUGCUGUCAUCUUUCUUUCCUUUUUCCUACAUCCCAUUUUGUUUGUGGUCCUAGAUAUUGUCUUGAUCAACAUGCUAGUCUCUCGUGAAUUUUAUUGCAUCAGUUUAAUGUAUAACAUCAAAGCACUUGGUCAAGGAGGACACUAAGUUUCGAUGAGAUAGGACUUGCCUAUCGCUUUGACGAUGUUUUGUUUGUUAUACUUUUUUUUUUUUUUGGUAAGAUUUGUUUGUUAUACUUUAUCUUGUUAUUUUAUCAUCAUUAACCAGUACUUUUGUCUUAUAAUCUUAUAGGUGAAAAUGACAAUAUCUUUCAAGAAUGUCAUGACUUCUCAUUUUAAUUAUAUUUAUUUGAACCAUAAUGCCAAGGAAAACUAGUCUUUUGUAUUCUCUUUGAUGAAUAACAAGCUUGUUUAGUACUCAAUAGACCAAAAAUGAUCUAGAGGUUCCUUAUUUGGUUGACUGAAUCAAUAAGAAGCUUUCAUUUUUAUUGUUGCGCUCAUUUUCGUUUUGCUUAACUAAUAAUGAAACCAAAAAAAAAAAAAAAAAACAGAAGAACUUGUUAGAUCCUAUAACCUAUAAUAGGGUAGGUUCCAUGUUUCGACGGGUAAGUUUCAGAUUCUUAAAAAAUGAAGAACCUUACUCAAGGGUAGGUUCCAAAUGGAACCUGUAAGGAACUUGGAACCACUCAUCCCUAUCAUUGGGUAGGGUUGACCACUCAUCCCCACCCCCUCCCCUCUCUCUAUCUCGCUCGGUUGCACAUGGUUGUGGCUGACAAAUCCAUUUCAGUUCUCUAUAACAUUGGAAUUGUUUUCUAUCUUUUGGUAAAAUGUAUGAAUUUUUUUUCAUGUUGAACUAAAUGUUAAUUGCUUACUUUUCCAAUUUAUGCGAAUAAUGUCAGCUUGUACAUGUUAUAGUGACAACACGUGGAAAUCAAAAGGGACCCAAAGUAUCCUCCCGUUUUUUUUUUUGACAAUGUUAAGUUUAAGACUUGGCUGUAUAUGGGAUGCGUGGUGAUUUUGUUGGGAUUUUUAGGGGUGGCUGGCUUAUUUUUUGUUCUCUACCUGAAGACAUUAUCUGAUUUCUGUUAGAGGUAAUAGGUUUGAGAGAGAAGAAGUAGUUGCUUGAAGUAUUACACCAAGAGACAUCAAGUUUGGAAUGCUCAACAGUGUUGCCUCCAGCGUAGGGAAACCCUAGAGUUUUUAUAUGCACGGUAUUGGGCUUCGGCCCAUAUGGACCCAAAUAACCAUGCUUUUACCUAUUGGGCUUGUAUGUGAACAUAUUGUUUUGGACUAUAUUAAUAAUAUAUCCAACAAUCUCCUCCUAUGUUCACCAUACAGCACAAUCCAAUAAGUUGGUCAGUGUAAUGUUCAAACAAACAUGAAUCAUCCACAUUCAGUCCAAGACAAUCAACUCGGAUCGGUCAAAGAGUAUUCCAGCAAUAAAGUAUUAAACUAAAUCAUCAUGUGCAAACUAAAUAAGUGAAUCAUUCUUAUCAUGAAUAUGUUCUGAGAUUAAAAAUCCAAAUCCCAAAAUAAAUCUCAGAUUCAGUUCACAACCAAUAUAUGCAUAUUAAUAAAGUAUAAGUAGGCCAGUCAAAAUAGUCUAAGGCCUUACAAAUAUAAGAAACAAGCAUAAUAAUGUCCACAAAAUAGAAAUAGCAAAAUGCAAGUCUAAGUAAUGACUCAUCAAAAUAGCCAAUAGCAGGUAAACUGUCAAGUCCUCACACGCUCUAAGUGAUAUAUAUUCAUUCAUCAAGUAGGUCAUCCUGGUCAGGAUCCCACUCAUUAAGCUCUCCUCCAUCUCUGCCAUCCCCUGUAGAAUGUCAAAUAUGAAUUUCAUAUUAUCAUGAAUUCAAUCAAGUGAAUAAAAACUUAGCACCAUUCCAUCAGGCGGAGAAGAACAUAUAUUGAUGUCAUAAAGCAUCAUAAUAUCAUGUCAUAAGCAUCAAGCCAGUUUCAUAAAUUAUGAACAAGAUCUAAACAAUGUGAGUUACAAAGAGCCAUCAACUUAAGUUUAUUUGUAGGAGAAUAACUAUUGUCUAGUUUCAAAGAACAAGACCAAUAGUCAAGUCACUUACAACAACCUAGUCGUGUAAUAUCAAGUUUCAAUUAAGAACAAGACAAAUAGGCUUCUUAUGUAAACAAUUGUUUCUAUGUUUCAAUUUGGAAUGUCACAAUUACUGAUUCCUUAAAGUCAAAUAAUCUAGCAUCAAGUUUGGAAUGAGAUCAUUUAACCAAAAAAGGAUAGUCCAGUCUAGUUGAAUUGUAUCAUCAAGUUUGGAAUGACACAAUUUUUCCAGAUAGAACAUUUGAAUUAGGUUAAAGUCAUCUUCAUCAAAUUUGGAAUGAGACAACUCACCCUCUUCAAUUAGUCAGCAACUGUGAACAUCAAUGAAACAUAUAAACUGUGCUUAUCAUUGUAGCCAAUAAAGAAAGAUUUGAUAAUUCAAAACACAGGUAAGUAAAUGGUAGUUAAGACUUGCCUAUAUAGUCUUUAACCCCAGUUCCCCCACUGUUUUGAAUAAUCGAUCUUUAGGCAUACCUUUGGUGAGAGUAUCGGCUAUGUUAUCCUUCGAUCUCACAUCGAUCAAGGUGAUAACCCCUUGUUCUCUCAGAUAAUUCAACAACGCAUGUCUCAGUCUCACAUGUCUUCUCUUUGAAUUAAAGAGAGUAUUCUUGACGACUUGGACAGCUGCUCGAUUAUCACAAAAUAGGCUUAAAGAAUUAAUCUUUAGCCGAGUCAAAGGAAUAUCCAUAAUCAGAUUCUUUAUCCACUCUGCCUCUUCACCGGCUGAGGCUAAAGCAAAAAGUUCCGAUUCCAUAGACGACAAUGCAAUACAAGUCUGUCGUUUGGAUUUCCAAGUAAUAGCAGCUCCACCCAAAGUGAAUACAUACCCACUAGUGGACUUACUAUUUCCAAUAUCUGAGCACCAUGAGGCAUCAGAAUAUCCAUCCACAAUUGGAGGAUAACCAGAAUAAUAAAGCGCAUAAUCUUUAGUACCUUUAAGGUAUCUCAUUAGCCUAUUAAGGGCAUCCCAAUGCUCUUUACUAGGAUUACUAGUAAAACGACUCAGCAUACCAACUGUAAAGGCUAUGUCGGGUCUAGUGCAACUCAUAGCAUACAUGAGACUACCAAUCAGUUUCGAGUACUUUAACUGAUCCACGCUGGUCCCUUCAUUAGGACUCAGUCUAUUAUUAUAAUCACAUGGUGUCUCACUCGGUUUACACUUAUCGUAUCCCCAAGUAGAAAGUAGAUGCUCAAUAUAAUGAGUCUGGCUAAGGGAGAUGACUUGCCGUUCAAAGCUUACUUUCAUACCAAGAAUGGUAUUAGCAAUACCAAGAUCUUUCAUAUCAAAUUCUUUAGCUAAAGUAGCUUUCACGUCACUCACUACAGAAUGAUCGGAACCAAGAAUUAACAUGUCAUCAACAUACAAGCAAAUGAUGACUAUCUUAUUUGACAUAGAACGAUGGUAAAGGCAUUUAUCUGAAUAACUAGACUGAAAGCCAUAACUCUUUACCACUUCAUCAAAUUUAAGAUGCCACAUCUUAGAUGCUUGUUUAAGACCAUAUAGAGAUUUAUUUAAUUUACAAACUUUGUCCUCAAGACCUUUCAUAACAUAUCCUUCUGGUUGUUCCAUGUAAAUUUCCUCAUUUAAAUCCCCAUUUAAGAAAGCUGUUUUUACAUCCAUUUGAUGCACUACAAAGUGUUCAAUAGAUGCCAAAGCAAGAAGAAUUCUUAUAGUUGAUAGAUGACACACAGGUGAAUAGACAUCAAAAUAGUCUAUUCCACUCUGUUGUUUAUAGCCUUUAGCUACUAAGCGUGCUUUGUAUCUGGCUAUUGAUCCAUCACUAUUCAGUUUCUUCUUCAACACCCAUUUACAGGCUAUAGCUUUAGCCCCUUUUGGCAAAUUUACUAGCUGCCAAGUGUGAUUCUGCAGCAGAGAGCUCAUUUCAUCAUCUAUGGCUUCUGCCCACAGUAGAGAUUCCCUAGAUCUCAUUGCUUCUUGAUAGGAGAAUGGAUCAUCCUCAAGAUGAUAAGCAACAAAGUCUUCACCAAAACUUUUGGGAAUUCUCUCUCUUGUAGAUACUCUAACUGGAAUUGUUUCAAUAGCCAACUGUGUGGAAUUAGUGUCAGAAGGGCCUGCUUCAGAUUCUACAGGAGAUUCUGAAAUCAUAUCUGUAGAUCCAGAAACAUUCAAGCCUUGAUCUCUGAUAAACUUGUUUUCAAAGAACACUGCAUCUCUAGAUUCUAUCACUGUGUUAGUAGAUAGAUCUAAAAACCUAUUUGCAGCGCUAUCUUCUGCACUACCUAGAUAUACACAAGUAAUAGUUCUAGAUCCCACCUUAGGUUUUUUAGGAUCUGGUAUACUUACAUAAGCAAUACAGCCCCAAGUCUUAAGAGUAUCAUAUCUACAAGGGCGCUUAUGCCAUAUCUCAUAAGGUUUCAUGGACAACUUAGAGUGCGGCAACUUGAAGAAAGCACCAAAUUUGCAGUUCCAGCAUGAGUCACCUUUGCCUCACCACCAUUGCAAUUUUCCACAGUGUCUUUCACUUCUGUGACCUCAGUGAGUAAAUUCUUGUCAUUUGUAGCAUGACAAGUAGCGCCACUGUCCAACCACCACUCAGAAGAGAUGCUGGCCUUUCCAUUCUUCAUCAUUCCAAUAAAGGCUCGAGGCUAAGAUCCUCUAAUAAGCAUAUUGGCCUCAUUAUGUGGUGUGUCGUUAUUUGGCUUCCUUGGCAACUUACACUCUGCUACCCAGUGACCCCACUUUCCACAGUUAUGGCACUUGCCCUUCUUCUUCUUUUUGAAGAUAGUCUUUUUGGCCUCUAACUGUAAAGAGUAUUCACCUUUUGGUGACUUGGACUUUUUCUGAGGUUUAUUGGAGUGUGAAACUAAGUUGGCAACUGACUUUUGUUGUCCCACUUGUUCCAAACUCUUCCUAGUGAUAUUUUGAUCCUCAAUGUGAAUAUACCUCUUUAAUUCAUCCAGUCCCAUCUGUACCUUCAGUCUGUGCAUUUCAGUCUUGAAAGAACUCCAUUCAGUUGGCAGUUUGCUCAACACAAGACCAACAAAGAGAUUAUCGGACAUAUCAGAAUUAUCAUCUUUCAGCUUGUUCCUCAUGUUCUCAAAUUCAACUAACUGAGAGGUGAUGCUUGAAUUCAUAGUGAAUUUAAAGUCAAAGAAUUUCUCCGCUAGGAGGGUUUUAGAUAACCCCUCUUGUUUUUGGAACUGAGCGUUCAAGUGAUCCCAUAUCUCUUUCGCCGUCUUAUACUCACUAUAAGUCAUAGCCAAAUUAGGAUUCAGAGAGUUCAGCAAGUAAUCUCUACAAAAAUCCUCAUCUUUGUUCCAUUGAUAUUCAUUCACAUCUUCAGUGGUAGAUGUAAAAUCGCUCAAUACAGUAUAGAAUAUGUCACGUUCUUUCAUGCCAAAUUGAACAUGUAAUUUCCAGCCAUGAAAUUCAGUAACAUCAAAAGAUUGCAACUUUAUAAUAUCAUAGGAACUACGCUUUGCCAUUUUAAUCAAAGCAAAGUGUUAGAAAGAGUGCACCUUGAAGUCCUCAGAGCAACAAAGUUGAAUAACUCCCCUAACCUUGAUCAAACCGCUCUGUAGAGAUGGAAUUUGCCAAAACAAACCCCAAAAACGGAUCUGGAGCGCCCAAAAACCUUAAGAUGGACUGCCCUUGUUACUGAAACUCGCUGAAAAAUUUCGCCCCCCGAAAUUCGCUAGAAAUUUCGUCCCCAAAAUUCGCUAGAAAUUCAGAUGGAAACUUCCGGGUGCCAUAACUUCUCCGUCCGACCUUCGAUUGACGCGAGUGACCACUCAAAACGUUCGUAGCGACGAGUAGAUCAAAGCCCAAGUGGUUUCACCCUCUUAAAUUGGCUAUAAUUUUUGGGUUUUUGAAUCAAAGAUUUCGGUCACCCGAAUCUUCAAACUCAGAUCCCGGCCAAUAUCACCGUCGAAAUCGAAAGUAAAUUACAGCCGCGAGUUCGUCUUGACGAAAUCUUCAAGAACACACUUUACUCGCUCAAAUCCGACACACGAACCUAAUACUUCAAGAUUGUUAUAGGUAAUAGGUUUGAGAGAGAAGAAGUAGUUGCUUGAAGUAUUACACCAAGAGACAUCAAGUUUGGAAUGCUCAACAGUGUUGCCUCCAGCGUAGGGAAACCCUAGAGUUUUUAUAUGCACGGUAUUGGGCUUCGGCCCAUAUGGACCCAAAUAACCAUGCUUUUACCUAUUGGGCUUGUAUGUGAACAUAUUGUUUUGGACUAUAUUAAUAAUAUAUCCAACAAUUUCUGUAGACUGUGCGGUGAUUUUUCUUUCAUUUAUUUCUUGUGUUUGGGUUUAAAGAACUUUGGAAUGCCAAAUGAGUCUUCAUGGGGCCUGACAUUCAAUAUAUUGGAGCAAAAAAAAAAAAAACUGCGUGAGAGCAUCUAGUGUUUCUAGAGUUUGUUUAUUGAUAAUAAUAAGUGUUGAUUUAUUUAUUAUUGGCAAAGUUAUCACCUAAUAGACCCUAUUCUAUAAUUUUAGCUCUUUGAAUUUCACGUGGUGUUUCGCAUGGCAAAAUCAAGAAGCAAACCAAAAUUAAGGACUGCUCACCACCCUCUCUCUCUCUCUCUCUCUCUCUCUCUCUCUCUCUCUCUCUCUCUCUCUCUCUCUCUCUCUGAUUUGCCAUUAAUAAUAGAACCUUUUUUAUCCAUCAUAAUUAGGAAAAAAAAAAGAAAAAGAACGCAUGACCCUUUAUAUGCACCAACUCCUCAUGCUCACAUGCCUCAUCCCUUUGCUAUCCUCCAAAUCUCUCUCUCUCUCUCUCUCUCUCUCUCUCUCUCUCUCUCUCUCUCUCUCGUGCUCUCUCUCUCCCUCCUUCACUGGUGUCUACUUGCUAAUGCAGAACGUUAGAUGGGAAAUGUACAAGUUAAUUUGAUUUUAAACUGAGCCGGCCAAGUUUUAAGGUAUCGGUACUCAUUUGCCUAAUUCAUAUCCAAUAUCUCAGCUCAUUUCUUAGCCAGACCACGCCACACUAACCUCAUUUUCUCUUCAGGAAAGAGAGAUAUGUGGAAAUUAAUAAACUUCCUACCUAUGGCAAACUCAAAGGCUGGAACCAGUAAUGAUGCUACACCAGCAUCAGGAAGUGAGAACCAAGUGUUCUUGAGUUUCAGAGGGCCCGACACUCGUCAUGGAUUCAUAGACUUCCUCUAUAACGACUUGUCAGAUGUCGGAGUCCGUGUAUUUAGGGAUGAUGAUGAACUUCGCGUUGGAGAAAUAAUUAGUGACAACCUGCUAAGUGCUAUCAAUAACUCCAUAAUUUACAUACCCAUCUUCUCUUAGACUUAUGCUUCCAGUAAAUGGUGCCUUUGGGAGCUUGCGCAUAUAGUGGACAAUGUGUCUAAAUCAAAGGUCGAAAAGUGUAUCUUUCCCAUUUUUCUCGACGCGGAACUAGAUGAUGUUAAACUUAAAACGCGGAUAUAUAACAAUGCUUUAUUGGAACAUGAGAGGGAGUUUCCCAACAAAGUCGAGGCAUGGAGAGCGGCUCUUGCAGCUGUAGGUAAAAUGUAGGUAAAAUCAAGGGAUUGAACGUGACAUCUAGGUAAAACUCUUUUAAGAUCCCUACACAUUUCUUCUUGUGUUGAUUUUUCUUUUGUUGCUGCUAUUUUAGAGUAUACAACGUUGGCCUGUCAAAUGAUUUCUUUUAUUCUUUUUUCUUUUUUUUUUUUGGUUAAAGGGAACGUAGUGAAAACUACCCCUGCACUCAUUCAACUCUACAUCCUCUGCUUUUAACAUCUUCCCUGAAAUAUUCCCCCGUGAUGUCAAUAGCUUCAGAGACAUGGGCCCCCAUAUUCCUUUUAACUAUAUUUUCCACUUCACUGUCUCGUUAGACUAAGAAAUAUUCAAGAGCACCCAUUUGCAUUUAUUAUUUGGGAUGAUUACUAAAAUCAAGUUCAGAUUAUGCAUUCAUAGCAGUUUCCAUUUCCCAUUAACGGGGAAAAGGCAGAAAAAAAAAUUAGAAACGGCAUCCGGUGCUGACUUUGUUUUACACAUUUUUAUGUGCUUCUCAAGAGACACCAAAUAUACGAGAAAAUUGAGAUUCGAUGAAGAAAAAUCAUGUUUAAAUAUUCAAUAGAAGCAAGAGCAUUUUGAGAUAAAGGUUGACGGGGCUGUCAUCUUGGGGACUUGAGCUCUGCGGAGCUCAUGGGAGGUCCAAAUCGAGGCUGAGCAACCUUGAUCUGGACCAGGCCGGAGGCGACGACUGUUGUCAACCUCUGAUAUGAGGUCAGCGGCCACACGGGCCUUACAGGGGGUGUAGCCGGGUGCAGCCGCGCGAAUAGAGGGUUGAGAGAGAGAGAGAGAGAGAGAGAGAGAGAGAGAGAGAGAGAGAGAGAGAGAGAGAGAAUGGACACGCGGUGUAGGGUGUUUUGGAAGUUCGGAAGAGAGUGGUGAGGACCCUUUUUGAUGAGAUUGAGCUAGGGCAGCAUAUGCAAUUUCAAAAGAUUGGGGAUUUGAUUUGCAUAUGUCAAAAUAUGGAGAUGCUAGUUGAAGUGCGUGGAAAAUGGUUUUAGGGAUUUAUUAUUAUUUCCCUUUCGACCUUUCUUAAGGGUUGUAUCAGGUAAACUAUAAGGCAUUGAAAUAUUAAUCACCUAUCUAAUCUAAUCCAAAGUAAUAAAAGGUGGAGAUGAAUAAUGGGCCACACGGCUCGAACAAUGAGCUAUUUGAUGAGUUGGGGACCAACGUCGCAGUGUCGUGGCCCCACCUGUCAUUUAUAUCUUGUUUUGGGGGGUCAUCCUGUGGCCUUUAUAUUAACAACUUAAUAUGCUUACUAUAAUUCAUCAAUAACAACACAUAAUUCGGCUGUUCAAUUGAUAAAUUUAGAUCUAACACAUAUUUUAUAUUAACAAACCAACUGUGUGCUUUUAUAGAAUGCGGGCACCCCAUUAGCUUCUCCAAAGUAAAUGAGCUGUUUUUGCAUAAUGUCAUAGAGUGGGUAAGCUUUUGGGGUUACGUCUGUUACCAACAUGCUGCUCUAGAAUUCCAGAUUUUCGACCAAAAGAUGGAAUUAUUGGAUAGCAAACAGACAGGGCCUCCAUUUUGUUUUAAUAUUGACAAAGAAGUCCACCUUAGAUAGGUUAAUUACGAAACUAUGACAUAUGCUUAGGUCUAUGACUAGGUAAGAUGCACACGUUAAGUCAAUAUAAAAAUUUUGGGCUUUUUUUUGGGGUUAUAUUUUUUCUGUCAACCAAACUGUAAUGCUCAAUAGAUGACGUUGCAUUUGUUUACAUUAUCUCGACUAAUGAUUCUCCCAUUGCGAUUGCUGAAAUUUUGUCUAGGCCUAGCUAAAUGCUAAAAUUUUGCUUAUGCACGAUUCGGUAGACACUUGGUAACUGUUGCCAUCGUGUAAGUCAGUACUAUUGUCUUUAGAAAUUUAUAUAAUCAUAGAUGAAAAACAUAUCAAGUGAGUUCCAUCAAUUUAGCCUAUAAGUUAUUAUUUGUACUUAAUUACCGUUUCAAUGUACUUCAUACCUGUUCGAGUUAAGAUUUUGACAAUCCCACAUAUGAUGCGUGGGUAUGAAAUUAAUCUAGUAACUAAAGAAUGUGGGUAUGAAAUUAAUCUAGUAACUAAAGAAUGCGCUUUUAUGCCUUGCAGCCAAGCAGCGAUUGUCAAAAUAGUUGUUAAAGAGGUUUUGAAGAAGCUGAAGAUAAAACAAAAAUCAGUGACCGAAUAUUUAGUUGGAAUUGAUGAUCGAAUAAAAAAGUUGACAAAUCUUUUAGAUGUCAGUCACGAUGAUGUGCGGCUCAUUGGAAUUUAUGGAAUGGGUGGCAUCGGUAAAACAACUAUUGCCAAGGUUGUCUUUAAUAAAUUAUGUUCCCACUUUGGGAAGUGUUGUAGCUUUCUUGACGGCGUUCGUGAAAGGUCAAAUAAGGAGGGCAUAGUCUCGUUGUAGAAGCAAUUACUAUCUGACAUUGGUGGUUCUGGAACUAUAGGAGAUAUCGACAAUAGUGAAGAGGGAAUGAGGAGGAUUAGAGAAACACUCAGCAAUAAGAAGGUCCUGGUGGUUUUGGAUGACAUUGAUAAGAAAGAGCUCAUUAAUAAUCUAAUAGGAAAUUCCAAAUUAUAUCCAGGAUCUAGGAUAAUUGUUACAACAAGAAACACUUAUGUUCUAGAAGUUGAGGGAUUUAAGGGUGAAACUCAGCAGUAUGAGAUGUUAAAGAUGGAUGCCGGUUCUGCACUUUAGCUUUUUGGUUGGCAUGCCUUUAGUGGAGACUUUCCUUCGGAUGAUUAUCGCCGGCUUUCAAGUGACAUUGUCUCAACUACAGGAGAUCUUCCAUUAGCUAUUCAAGUGAUAGGUUCAUUGCUCAAGGGGAAACGCCAAGAAAUUUGGGAAGAGACAUCGGAAGAGUUAAGGAAUGUUCCUGCGAAAGAGAUUUUAGAGAAGUUAAGGAUUAGCUAUGAUGAUCUAGAAGAACAUCAAAAACAAUUUUUUCUCGAUAUAGCGUGCUUCUUUGUCAACGAGAAUAAGACCGAUGCAAUUUACAUGUGGACCGAUUGUGAAUUUUACCCCAAGGGAGGAAUUGAAGUUAUUACCGAUAGGCGCUUGAUAAAGAUAUUGGACAAUGAUAAGUUUUGGAUGCACGAUCAACUUAUAGCAUUGGGAAGGCAAAUUGUCCUUGAAAACAGUCCAAAUGACCUUGAAAAGCAUAGUAGGUUGUGGAUUGCAAAAGAGGCCCUUCAAAUCAUAGGAAUCGAAAAAGGUAAGUUAAAAACGUCUCAUUUUCAAAUAAAAGUUGUAUAUCCUAGGAUUGGGGAUUCUUUUUUUUUUUUUCCUUUGUUUAGUAAAUUUAUCAAUUUUUUCCUGCCCAUUUGAGUUGUAAAACAUAGUGGUUGGAAGUUGACAAACUUCUUGGCAUCAUUGCAAAAUUUCACUUGCAGACAAAGUGCAAGGUUCAAGCGCUUGAGAUAUCUAUGUAUGGUUCCCCCAUAGAGAUUAGAAAUGAAGACUUAAAAGGUUGCCGAACCUAAGAUUCCUCGAUUUAAAAGGGGGAACUUAUGUUGGAGACUUUGCAAUGUGUCAUUCAAAUUUGAAAUGGUUUUCUUGGAGUUGGGAGGAUCAUGGGAUGAAUAAACUUGAUUUGGAUCAUGGGAUGAACAAACUCGAUUUGGAUUUUAGGGCAAGCAAUUUGUAUUUGGAUAAGCUUGUUGUUUGUAAACUUCACGGCCUUGACUUCAAGGAUGAUUCAAAAGCAUGGGACUUGAUCAAGGUAAAUUACAUGUUUUAAAUUCUAGUAUGAUAGUUCCCUUGUGUACACUACAAUGGUUCUUUAACUCGACAUGUCAUUCAUUUUUACAGAGAGCAGAAAAUUUGAGAGUUCUAUCCAUUACUUGGUGUUCUGGCAUAACGACAAUCCCAAACAUCUCUAGAUGCUCAGCUUUAAAGAGAUUGACUCUUGUUCGAUGCUCCAGUCUAAAGAGAAUUGAAAGCUUCAUUGGAGAUCUACAAUCAUUGAUUGAGUUAAAGAUUAUAGAUUGCUUGAAUUUAACUAAUUUACCAAAAGAAGUGGGGGCACUAGUGAAGCUCAGGUGUUUCUCCUUGCAUCAUUGUAAAAGGUUGAGAGAACUUCCAUACUCACUUGGGAAUUUGACCUCCUUGACAGAGUUAGAUUUGUCAGGUACUCGCAUUGCCAUACUUCCAAAUUCCAUUGGAAUGUUAAAAUUUAAAUAUUUGUAGUUUGAAGCUUGCGAGUUUUUCUUUUGACGAGAAAGAUAAUCAUGGAACUUCCCAAAUUCAUUUUACAGUUAAAAUCAUUAGAGAUCUUGCGCUUUCCAUUGUGGCCAUUGAAUGUCAAGUAUCUUGAUUGGCAAUUAACUUGUGGCAUCAGCACUUUGGUAAAUCUUAGAGAGCUGGAUCUCUCUAAGCGUACUAGAAUGAAAUGUGAAAUUCUCGUUGAAAGUGGUGGAAUUCCAAUGACAAUCAACACGUUUCACGACCUCCACAUCCUAGACGUAACCCAUUGUCAUGAGAUUCAAGAGUUACCGGAGCUUCCCACAAGUUUGAUCUAUCUACGUCUUCAAGCCACAUCAUUGCUCAACACCCUUGGCCUGUCAAAAGUUACUAAUUUGGUUAAUCUGCUACUACGCGAUGGCUCUGAUUAUGAAGGCAAAUCAAAGCUAAUCCCAGAUACGACUUAAUGGGGAUUGUGAAUUUAUCUAGAUGAAUGGGUGGAGUUAAGAGUGCUAAACGUCCCUGCAAAUCCACAUUGACUUAUCCUUCUCAACCACAAGAGAUUGUUUUUGGACUCAAACCCAUGUGCAGCAUGUGCAGCUUCCAUCCUCCAACUGGAGGUGGAGAAAUUUGUCAACUUUAGAGAUCUAUUUUUGCGAAGUGGAAGACAUUUCGCUAGAUGGACUAUCACGACUAGAGAACUUAAGGGUUUGCAGAUGUGAAUGGCUUCAGAGAUUAUCCAUUCCUUUAGAAUUAAGGAAGCUGCGGCAAGUGAUGGUGGAAUCUUGUCAAGCCCUAGUUGAGAUACAAGUUGUGGACGUUUCAAAAUCGUUGGAAGGCUUGACUGUCCAUUAUUGCGAAUCUCUGACAAUAAUAAAUGGGUUAUCAUACUUGAAGAACCUGGAGAGAUUUUUAAUUCAAAGUUGCGGUGUACUUACUAAUGUUGAGGGCCUAAACGAGCUGGAGUCUCUGAAAGCUUUGUCGGUCUACUGGUGCUGGUCAUUGAAAAGGUUGAUUGAUGCAUCUGGCACAAAAAUACCAUAUGAUUGCAUUGUCCUUAUACAGGGGUGUGGAUACUUCAUCAAAGAUUCUAUCAGAGAUCCUAUGUCUAUGGAGACAAUGCUUUUGAAGCAUUACAGAAAGGAGAUUCUUUAGAGUACAUCAAAGGUGCGGAAUCUUCUUCACCAAUAUUUAUUUCCUUUUUUGGCUAAAUAUCCUCCUUCCUUUCUCCACACAAUAUCCGCCCUUUUAAAGUUGCCAUUUUUUUGUUGCACCCUAAUUUCUUAGGUGGAUGAUUUAUUUCCGUUGUUUUUUGGUGUCGGACAUUUGCGGUUCCUAAAGCAAUCUUUCACCCCUCUUUUGUGGCUCCCAUUAUGUGUUGUGCUUUAAUUACUUAGGCUACAUAUUUUUUUUUCUAUCUUCGUGAUUCAUCUCUACUUGCCUUUUUAGUGUUGUAAUAGUGCCAGUAAACUCAAUGAAUCAUUCUUUUAAUAUUAAUCAUCAAAAUUACUUUCAUAGACAAGAAGUUAGAUAAUCGAUUGCCAAUUAUAGAUUUCAAAAGCAAUUGGUAAAGAAGGAACAAGUAGGGGUGAGCAUGUCGAACCGCAUAAACUGGGAAUCGUUCAGACUAGACCGGACUGGCCAAUGUGGUCCGGUUUUCGGAGGUAUCAAUCUAGUUCGUGGUUCCAUUUUUAUGGAAUUGGCGAUUGUUAGUUCGAUUCUCAGUUCCGGGGGGGGGGGGGGGGGGGGGAACUGGACUGGACUGAACUGAUAGACUGAACCAACUCUUUUUUUUUAAUUAUAUUUUUAAUUUCUUAAAAAUAGUAAGUACUCUAGUUUUUUUUUUAAUUUUUUAAUUUUUUUUGCUAAGUGAUUGGUUCCAUGGGAUCGGACUACCAGUUCCCAGUCCUAGGACUGUCCGAUCCAGUCCCCAAUCCCAAAAUUAGGAAUUGAAAACUAAUCACCCCUAGGAACAAGUAAGAAAGAAGCAUCACAACCCUUUCAAGUCGCUGGAUUUAAUGAAAAAACGACCUGGAAAUAAAUCGUCAUUAACUUUUUAAUGAUUGGUGCCUGUCACUGGAAGCGAAUUAAGACAUUAAAAAGGCAACCCGCCAUGUAAGGUAAUCUACAAAUAGGAAGUGUAAACAAAAGAAAUAAUACCUAGCCUNNNNNNNNNNNNNNNNNNNNNNNNNNNNNNNNNNNNNNNNNNNNNNNNNNNNNNNNNNNNNNNNNNNNNNNNNNNNNNNNNNNNNNNNNNNNNNNNNNNNUUUAUUAAGUUACAAAUAAUUUUAUGCAAUAAAGUGCAAAAGACUAUCCCACGAAUGGGACAUUGUAUAAAAUUUAAAUUAUUGUACCACCAUAAGUACACUUUGUUAGCAAGUUAACAAUUGCAAGAUACAAAGUAAUCUUAGGAGUGAGACUUGUCAAGAUGUGAAUUAAGUAUUUUAAGUGCCUAGAUGCAAUAAUUUGUGUAUCAAUAGGAAUUAGUCAAGCUAAAUGUCUGCACUAUAAUAUUCAAAAAGAAAUUAAAAAUAUUUCUAUUGAUGCCAUUUUUGAAUAAUUAUAGUAGUAUUGAGAAAAUGUUUCACAAGUGACCUUAUCUACCCUUAAUUUAAUGGUUAAUGAGAAAGUGAAUAGUUACUGUCCCCUAAUCAAUAGUGGUAAAAACCACUACUAGAAAGUUUUAUUUACAGUGGCAUUCCAAUUUUUUUCUCCCCCCCCCCCCCUCCCCCUCUUCAUAGAAAAGGGAAUCUGUGAUGAGAUAGUACUCCUAGGUAGAUAAUUAUCUUACUUGAUGUUUAAUUUAAAUUUACAUCACAUAUUUGUAUUUGCGCUGGUUGGAUUGUGGGUAAAUAUGCAAAAAGUUUAGUGAAUAUCCAAUAGAUAUGUUGUUUGGCUCUCCCAUUGAAAUUGUUACGUCACAGGAUUCCUUCACAAUCUGAUUCCACCUUGGAGUAAAGAAGUCUAGUGACAUGUGGUUUUGGGUCUGUUUGUGGAAUAGAGAAAGAAAAGGAAGGCGUCGACCUCGAUUCAGUGGCAUAUGAAGGAUUGGUUGUUGACGUGAAAAGUUUCGGCUUUCAUUUCAAGAGAAUGUGGUGUGAGACCAAGGAUACUUACAACAUGCAAAUGGAGAUCGAGAGGGAUGGGCACGUGAAUGAAAUGUUGGAGAGGCAUGUCAACAGGGAUUCAUUAAUCAUUUGUACGUCGAGGGAGGGGUCGAUAGUGAGUGGGAGGGAGAAUACGAUGAGGAGAUGAUGAAGACUGAUGUGUAUUCCAAUGAGGAUGGGGCUAAGGGGGACGUUUCAUGUCCUAAUGAAGACUCAAAACUCUGCACCUGUGGGCAGUGAAAGCGAAACUCAUGGCAACUCCUCCGUUGAUGAUUCCGAGUUAGGGCAGGGCAAUGCUGAAUGUUUUGAGGCUACGUCAAUUCCAGAAGAAGAUUUAGACAAUGUUAGACAGGUGGAGCUUCACGAAAAACCUAGAGAUGAGGAAACAAUAACUUUGGAGCAUUACGAAGAGGAGAUUUUUCUGAAUACAUUAAACAAAGUGCGACAUCUUCCUCAUUGUGUGUGGGAUUUUUGUUCAAUUCCUUUUUAGGCCAAAUCUCUUCCUUUCCUUAGCCACACAUAUAUCUGCCCUUUCAAAGUUGCCAUUUUUCGUUUGUUGCACUAUAAUUUCUUAGGUGGCUGAUUCGUUUCCUUGCAUUAGUCACUUAUCUCUACUUACCUUUUUGGUGUGGGAUAGUCUUAGUUCUUUAAUAGUCCUGGCAAACUAAUAUUAUCUCUCUAUAUAUUACUUCAUCAAAAUUGCUUUCACAAAUAACUUGCUAGAUAAUAGAUCACAAAUUAUUGAUUUCAAAAACAAAAUAUGAUUUCUUUGUCAACUAUUUUUUUUUUUUAAUUUUGCAAUUGACAUAAUUAAUGCACAAAUUUAAUACUAUUCAUAUAAUAAAACUAAUUUAGAACUAGUUGAUUCGAUUAUUCCACUAAUGCGCUUUGGAGAAAUUAAUGUCCAAUUUGUAGUUGUACGAAAGGGAAAAAAAGCACAAGACCUCAUUAAAUUCUGCCAAGUUCAUCACAUGGAAAAACAAAUGACGAAUUGGUUUGUAUAUAUAUUUGGUUGGUAUAUAUAUAUUUAAUAAUACGAUGAUUUAUCUCUGUAUCUAUUGGNNNNNNNNNNNNNNNNNNNNNNNNNNNNNNNNNNNNNNNNNNNNNNNNNNNNNNNNNNNNNNNNNNNNNNNNNNNNNNNNNNNNNNNNNNNNNNNNNNNNUAUUAUUUCUGUUAGACAUUUUAUGCAAAUUCAUAUAGGGCUAAUCCAUCCACCCGCAAAUUAAGCAAUAAAUGUGUUGCACAUUUGUAUGCUAUUUUGCUGAUGCAUGUAUAUACAAUGGGCUUGACUAUUGAGUUAGGAUGUAACUUUUAUACGGGUGAACAUAUUAUUUACUAAAGACCGUGACUUAUGAUGAAAAGAGAUUCUAACUAAUUUGGAAGCAUAUUACUUUAGAAUAAGGACGAAUACAAAAACAUUAACACUUUCAUAAACUGAUUUAAAACAAUGUGUCCCAUGGUUAUGGAUUUUUCAUUCAAAAAGUAGAAAAUAGAACUCCUUUUUAGUUAUAGAAUGCAAAGCAAUUGAGUUUAUACUAGUAUUUUAACUGAAAUAGAUAAUUAACAUUUGAAGAUGGUAGUACAUGAAGUACCAUGUGUAACUAAAGUGAAAUAAGAUGAAGAAUUAAAGUUGACUAGAUUAAUAACAUAAAUAAUAGAAAGAGAAAUGAAACUAAAUAUAGAUUUUGGUUAAUUACAAUUUCAGUCCUAAUCUAUUGUACCAAUAUAGUCCUAAAUCGUUCAAUUGUUCCAAUAUAAUUCUAUAUCUUCCGGCCGAUCAUUAUCGUCUUGCAUGGCACGAUCGGCAAUCUGACAUGGAAAAUAUUAAUUGAAACAACAUUGUUUUAUUUGGAAGAAUGUGCAACAUAUAACAAAAUAAAAUCGACUAAACCACAAAAAUCCCCAAAUGAACUCCCCUAAUUCGCUGACAACGUCGAUUCCCAUCGAAAUCCCCAAUUUCCUCAAACCGAACCAUAGUUUGCCAUCACAAUCACCAAUUCCACUCGACAGCNNNNNNNNNNNNNNNNNNNNNNNNNNNNNNNNNNNNNNNNNNNNNNNNNNNNNNNNNNNNNNNNNNNNNNNNNNNNNNNNNNNNNNNNNNNNNNNNNNNNUGAGAUCUUACAAAAGAGCAUUCCCACGUUGUUUUUUUUUUUUUUUUCCUUUGGAAACCAAACAUAAACAA
rnacentral:lncRNA from 1 species